rnacentral:lncRNA from 1 species
CAUCCUUAUCUCUUCCUGCUCUUAUCCGCGCUGUGUGGUGGACGCUAUCUGAGCCUUCUCGUCGUGGAGCUUGCCGCACCAUCGCCCAACUCCUUCCCAGCUUCUCCAGUCGCGCCCCCCUCAGCUCUCCUCUCUAGUCUCCAGCGUCCAGCGCCGCGCCUGCUUCGUCCAUGGCCGGCUCCCUGCGUCGGUCUUCCCUGCGAGUUGCUCACGUCUUCAUCCCCUGAGCUCUCUCUCCCAUGCCGACGCGCGCGCUCUGCCUCUCCCUCAGCCGUCGCACCGUGGUUAUCUGCUCGGCCAUGGAGGUCGCGGUUCCCUGAUCUCCUGCUCGCCUGGCCGCGUCGAGCUCCAUGCUGGGCCAAAGUCUCCUCCCUGCUCGGAUUUUGUCAGGCCUGUGAGCUCCUCUAUGCGCUCUGCUCUCUGUCGUUCUCAUCCUCCCAGCUCGCCUCCUGUCCCCAACCAUGGAUGUCAGCCGGCCCUUGCUCCCAUCCAUGGUUGCCUCCCUGGUCCGCUGGUCUGCGUUCUCCCUGCUCGGUUCCUCUGCCGUGCAGCUCUCCGGCUCGCCGGCGUUUCACCCAUGCGCGCAUGCUGAUGAGGACAUCAACACUAACACGAGUAUAUCUACACCAGCAGCACCUUCUCCAGACCAGGCACCAUCUUCCCCAGUCCAGGCGCCACCCCUUCCACCUGGGCCAGUGACUCGGGCCCUUGCAAGAGAAUUGAACUACAUCAUGUUGUUAAAAAACGAAGGCCCAGAAGAUUAGAAGAUGGCCCAACAGGAAGGCCCAGAUGGGGCGCCUAGGGAAGUCGUGAACAGUAACCGCGGUACUAUAGCGCCGGCCCUACUGUUCACGUCUCUUCUCUAUUUAGUCAGAGUCAUGUUUCAUUUAGAACUUGAGUUUUGUUUUACAUCUAGCUUUAGCUACCCCAGAACACGCACAAAUACGUGCUGUCCUCUGUGAUUCAAAACUCCACCUCAAGUGAUAUUAAUAUUGCUCACAUCUUUUUCUUGUUCGUUCUUCGAUUGCGCAUAGGAAACGAUCUUCAUGAUCAGCCGAUCUCGUAUCAGCAAGGUCGGUAACCAUUGAGAGUUGGUUCAGCGAUUGCAUUGGCGCUUCGGGUUCGCUCGUCGUAGUCGGAUCGUGAGGGUCUACUUCCACCAAAUCGGAAUUAUCUCCACUCACCGAAAGAUCGGGCACUCCAGCUCCAUCAAGUGGUAUCAGAUUUCCAUGUUGAUCGGUGAGUUUAUCGAGUGUUUUUUUCUCCUACAGUCCACAAAACUACAUAAAAAUUUAGGUUAGACCUUAUCCCAGCACCCUUUUGAGCCUCGCACUUUCUUUCAAUAAUCUGCAUUGUUGAAUUUGUUUGCUUUCACGUCAUUUGUUGUUGGUUGCAUUGUGUUAUUCCACCAUUCAAACCCUAGCGCGCCGCCACCAUAUUCCGUUUGAUCGCGCCACAAACCAAGUCAACGCCGCUUCCUUAUUUUUCUCCUUCGGUUACGUAAAAAAACAGAAAAAAACAAACCGAGUCAACGCCGCUUCCUUGUUUUUCUCCUUCCGUUACGUAAAAAAAAACAGAAACAAAAAAAACAGAAAACGAAGGAGAAAGGAUACAAAGCGGUUGUCUCAUCUCGGCCGUUUUAAACAUACCUUCCUUAAACCGGGCAUAACGUUUCGCUCGGUUGUUCAAAAAAUCUGGAAUUUUUACAGGAGCUUGUUGACACCAUUCUGAGGCCGGCCAACUUGCCUACGACCUGUUCGGUUUCGAUAAAAUUGUCAAAAAUAUUCAGGAAAAUAAAGAAAAAAUUCGUCAAAGUUCUCGCACGUUUUUCAGAGAACUUCCUGAUUUUCUGUAGACCACAUCUGAACUCUAUUUUAGGUGAAACUUCGUGUAGCUCCUAUUUUGUUGCUCCUUGUGCUUAGAAAAAUAUCAAAAAAUCAUAUAAAAAAGAAAAACAAAAUCACCUGUGAUUCCUACUAGUGCAUUUUUGGCCUCGCUAGUACAAUAUUUACGGUACUGCCAUUCUGCUAGUUCCAUCUGUCCUUUGCACUUGUGGCCAGCAAUAUAGUUUUGUGUUUUGCACUAUAAUUCAACUUUGCAUUAUUGUUUGAUCAUGCUAAUCCUUGACUUGAGUGCAGCCUACUCAAAACUCCACAUAUUUCUACGACGAAAAGGUUUCUGUUUCUCCAGGCAAUCGCUCAUCCAAUCUUUCACCGGUUCCACCUGUUGGUUGCAGUUCACCACUGUGGCUUGGUAAGAACGGAUAAGAACUUGAUAACAGCAUUCCAUUGAGCGAGUUGUCACCACCAUUUCCCUGUUGUCGUCGGUUUUUCUCCUUUUGGUGUUUUGGUGUUUGCGCUAACUAUGGCAGGAGCACACGACACGGUGGAUGCCCAGUUGCUGGAAGUAAGGGGACAAGUUGAUGGACUUGCUGCUGACAUUAGGACGAUGCAUGAACGACUUGAUUCAACGGUCACUUCGACGACUGAGAGUUUCAACCAGCUUGACCUUGCUCAAACGGCGACUCGCACCACACUCGACACCAUCCUAGCAUGCCUUGAUGCGUUGACCACAAAGAUGGAGCAGGACUACGGCGGUGACGCUGAGCAGGACGAUGGAGAUCACCGUGGUCGUGCACGCCGUGUGGUUCGUCAUCCCCCUAAUGACUUAUUUUCUAAGAUUAAAUUUAAAAUUCCACCUUUUAAUGGCAAAUAUGAUCCUGCUGCAUAUCUUGAUUGGGAGUUAGAGGUUGAACAAAAAUUUUCAUGCCAUGAUAUUGCUGCACAUUCUCAGGUUAAAGCUGCUAUUAGUGAAUUUACUGAUUUUGCUUUAAUUUGGUGGCGUGAGUAUAAAAUAAAACAUCCCACUGCCAUUCCAACCACUUGGGAUCAGUUGAAAGCUGUGAUGCGACAUCGAUUUGUGCCUUCGUAUUAUGCUCGUGAUUUGCUUAAUAAAAUGCAGCAUUUUCAGCAAGGUUCUAAAUUUGUUGAGGACUAUUUCCAGGAGUUACAAAAAGGUAUGAUUCUUUGUGGGAUAUUGGAGGACAACGACACUGCUAUGGCACGUUUUUGUGGUGGUUUAAACCGCGAAAUCCAGGAUAUACUUGAUUAUAAGGAAUAUUAUGUAAUGACUACUUUAUUUGAAUAUGCUUGCAAAGCUGAACGUGAAGUGCAGGGACGCCGCUCGAAGCCAUAUUCUAACCCUUUUGCAGGACGAAGCUCGACAUCCACCUCAGCACCAGUUCCCCCUGCGCCAAACACGUCCAGCUGAAAGGGAAAUGUGCCCUUGGGCCAUUUCUAAGUAUUUUGGUGAUUGAGUGCCAACACAAGUGCUUAAAUGUGAAUUUAUGCUCAUGGAUGGACAAAGUGCAAAUCAAGAGUAAAGGUAUGUUUCUAAGCCUUAGUACAUUGGUUUUGUGUACUAAUAUACUUGUCUAAGUGUUAGAAACAGAAAGAAGAAGAAAAGAGAAGAGUUGGUUGUGUACAGCCAAAAGGCUGUUUCGGUCUGGGGCACCGGACUGUCCGGUGGUGCACCGGACAGUGUCCGGUGCGCCAGGCUGCCUCGGGUGAAGUGGCCGCUCUCGGGAAUUCGCCGACGGCGUACGGCUAAAAUUCACCGGACUGUCCGGUGUGCACCGGACUGUCCGGUGAGCCAACGGUCGGUCGGGCCAACGGUCGGCCGCGGAAUCCGCGCGCGACACGUGGCCGAGCCAACGGUCGGAAGGGGGCACCGGACUGUCCGGUGUGCACCGGACAUGUCCGGUGCACCAACGGCUCCCAGAUCUGCAACGGUCGGCUGUGCCAUUUUGGGAAAGAGAUCGGGCACCGGACAGUGUCCGGUGUGCACCGGACUGUCCGGUGCGCCCGAUGACAGAAGGCAAGAUCAGCCUUCUAGAAUUGCUCUCAACGGCUCCUAGCUGCCUUGGGGCUAUAAAAGGGACCCCUAGGCGCAUGGAGGAGAAAACCAAGCAACCUUAGAGCAUUCUUGAUCAUCCACACUCAGUCUUUGCGCAUCCGUUUGUCAUUCUCAGUGAUUCGAGCUCCGUUCUAGUGAGAACUUUGAGAUAGUCUUUUGAGCUCGAUUCUUGGCCGUGUGUUUGCGCAUUUUGCUGUGGAUUUGUGUGUGUUGCUUCCCUCACUUACUCCGUGCUUCUUUGUGAACUUUAAGUGUAAGGGCGAGAGACUCCAAUUUGUGGAGAUUCCUCGCAAGUGGGAUAAAGAUAAGCAAAGCAAAACACCGUGGUAUUCAAGUGGGUCUUUGGACCACUUGAGAGGGGUUGAUUGCAACCCUCGUCCAUUGGGACGCCACAAUGUAACACCCUAAAUUUGGGGGUAUAAAAUUUCUUUCCUAAUAUUCACCAAAUUCAGGUGUUACUCCCUCAUUUCUUUGCUUUCCUUCUAUUUUUCCUAAAUAAUGGAUAAUUAUUUUAUUAUAUGUUGGUUGUUACACUCAUGCCGUUGCAUAAUGUUUCCAAGUGCAAAUGUUUAUUUGUAUUCGAUUUUUUUUAAAAAAACCCAGUCUAUUUAAAUAAAUAUGACUUACCGUAAUUAUUCUUUUGAAAUUGGAUAAUUUAUUGUUUAUGAUUUACUACAGUUUUGGGAAUAUUUUAAUAUAUAUAUAUAUUCAUAUAUGUAUAAAAAUAAAAGAAAGAAAAGAAAAGAAAAUAACAAAAUAAGCUGAGCACAGCCGUGGCCUUUGGCCUAGCGACCAGGCUCCACAUGAGCGGGCUCUCUCUUUCUCACUCUAACAGGUGGGCUCCACCGCUGUUGAUUUUUUUUUCUUCCUUACGGUUCCUCCUUCCGCUCGUUCUUCUUCUAGUCCCAGAUCACACACGUCGUGUUCGGCAAAACCGCCUGCCCCGCCUCGGCACCCUGCGCGUUCAGGCAAUACCAUCGCCAUGGCUGUGAACUCCCUGCGUGCUACGCUCCGGCGAGCUGUCCUCCAAGUACGCCGCACCCAGCCCAGCCUUUUCGGCCUGCCGUGGCCGGCAGCGCGUGCCCACGCACUAGCGCGCCCGCGCCGCGCCCCAUGCAGCCGUCUGCGCGCAGAAGCGCCCGCCACGCCGAUUCCCUCGACCGCCGUCGAGCCGCUGCACAGCCACGCCUUGCUCUCGCCGCCGGCUGCUUGCCCGCCCGGUGGAGAAGCUGUCACGCGCUCGGAGUCCCAACGCCGUCGCCCGGUGCCCCGUCCGCGUGGCUUGUCCGCCCAGGUGAGUUCGCCGUCUCCCCCUCCUCAUCCCUCUCCUUCGCUCGUAGCGUCCGAUGAGGAACUCGCCCGUCGCGGCCAGUUUGGCCAGCGCGGCACGACUGCACGUGUCCAGCGCGGCCGGCAUGGCCCUGCGCGCGCGGUUCGCAGCCCGGCCCCUCUCUCGGUGUGGCCCCGUCCUCGCCGCGGUCCGUCCUUGUGCGGCUGGCGCUCCAUCGUGGCCAGCCCAGUCCUGCGUGUGCUUCGCGCGGUUCGCGCAGCACCCCGCACAGCCCCCGCGCCUUCGUGCAACGCGUUUCUGCAUCCUCGCAGCGCGCCGUUGGGGUUUCGACGACGUUCGUCUACCCAUAGACAACGUCCGUCUAUCCCCCUUCUCUUGUGUGCUCAUAGCCUCGCCGUUGUGUUGCCGCGCAUCGUCUUCGCGCGUUGCGCGCACCGUUUUGUGCGUCGCACGCUUCGCCGCACAACGUCAAUCAGCUUCACCUAAUAUCGCUUGUGUUAAUUAGACCAUUGUUCACGUAACAAAAUAAUUAGGAUUAAAUAAUUAAUUUGUGGUUUAGUUGUCAGUUAUUAAAAUAGAAAUUCAAUCGAAUCUAAUUUAUAAUUCUACGAACGCGUGUGUAAAUACCUAUUAUUGUGUUUAUGCCGACUUUAAGGUUAUAUUUAACACUUGUUUAAUAUAAAAAACGACACAGUUAGAUAGUAUUCGUAUGUCGCGACGUGUUUAGCCACGAAUGGUUGGUCAUCCAAUAUAUAUAUAUAACUUGCGUCGUAAAUCCGUUACAACUCGUUUUAGUCAUGUCAACUUCGUGACAAUGUCGAUUUCGUAUUAAUAAUGUUAUUUUAUCACGUCACAAGUUUUAAUUAUUUAAUUAGUGGUUUAUUCGAUACUUAUGACCUUCUAAUUAAAACUAGUUUAUAGUUCAUCUCGCGCUUUUAUAAAUAAAUGUUAACUUGAUUAAUACCAACUUAAGCGUUUUUCAUUUAAUACUUGUUUAUUAUAAACUCGUUGUGGUUCAGCGAGUAUUGCGUAUCGCGUGCGUCGCUCGCACAUGUCGCGCGCUGUUGUGCGUGUUGUUUCGCACACGCGCAGCGUGUCGUUGGGGUCCUGACGACAUCUGUCUACCCCUAGACGACGUUCGUCUACUCGUAGACGACGCUCGUCUACCCCCCCGAACCCGUUCGUCUAUCCCGCGUGUUAGUAGCAUUACUUUUGUGACGACGCAAGUUUUAAUUAAUUAGUGAAUGAUUUGUUCAUUCGAUAACAAUUUAAAUAGAACUAAUUUUAUAAUUUUAUUAGCGCUUUAUAAAUACAAGUUAAUGUGAUUAAUGCCUAUUCAAAUAUUUUAAUUAAUAAGUGUUUAGUAUAAACACGAUGUCUGUUAGCGGCUUUCGGGUGUCGUGCGCGUCGUCGCACUGUCUAUGCGCUGUUCGCACGUGUAGAGCUCGUCGUCUUCAUGUUGUUCGUGCGUCUGGUUUGUGUUGUUUCGCACGGGCCGUCGCGUGUUGUUCGCGAGUGUCACGCGUGCUGUUCGCACACGUUGUCGCGCGCCUAUCGCGCGUAUCUCGUGUGUCGAUCACGUGUGUCGCACAGCGUCUUCGCGUGAUAAUAAAUUGUUUACACUUAUAAGCAUUCACAUUAAUAACGUUAAUUUAUCAGGUCUCAUACUUUAAAUAAUUUAUUUAAUGUUUUCUUGAGUAAUGUUGAUUAGAUUAAUAUUCCAAUUAGGUUAUGAAUAGUUUCCAACUUGCGCUAUGAUAAUAAACACUAACAUGGUUAAUGUUAACUUAAAUUCUUUUUAUUUAUUUAGUAUAAACGCGUCGCCUAUUUAGUUCUUUCUCGCCGUCACGCGUGCUGUUCCGCACGUGGUGACGUGCUGGUUCACGCGUCGUUUGCGCUGGUCGCGCGCACUGUUUCGUGUGUCGUCAGCGUGCUAUGUCGUGUGUGGCUGUGCGUCGUUCGCACAUUAUUUUUGCACGUCGCGCAUCUGGUCGUGUGUCGUUAAUUUCGCCCCGUUUAGAAUCUCUCGUGUUAAUUAAAUUACUUACUUAACUGACAGCUGUUAGUGUAGCAGAUUAAUCGAAACUAAAUAGUAGUUAUAAUUAAUAUGAUCAUGUCGAUUAAUACUUAUUUAGUGUAAAUACGAUGACUUCUCGACCGUAGCCCUGACCAUCGCGUUUCUUUUUCCUUGCGUGACCGUAGUAACGCGCUCUAUUUCGUUUUACAUGUUUUAUUAUGUUUAUAUUUGUAUGGUGUAAUGUUCUUAUGCAUAUAUGUGUUUGCUUGCUUGUGUUUGUUCGUCUUCGCUUCGCGUUGCGACUAGAAUGCGAUCCAUCUCCAAGCUCCAAGGAAUCGACAGUCAAGCUUCGACGACCAAGUGAUCAAGCUCCUCGAGCUCUACGAAGUUGAAGACCCUAAGCAUCUGUUUGGUGAAGGCAAGUGUCCUCAGUCCCAUUAUGUCCCAUUUACUUUAUAAUACACUGUCCCGCAUACUAUGAACAACCUAAGGAUUUACUAACUUUCUAUUUACCUUGUCUUUGAUUUACCUUUUGGGUUACUAUGGUUAGCUACAUGCUAGCGCUUUACUUUAAUCAAUGAACAUGAUGAGAUACAAUGAUGAUACUAUGAUUUUAUUCUGGAUAUGAUGAUAUACUUGUGGCAUUUAGGGGACUCGGGCUGUUUCCCGAGUACCUCUCCGUAAGGACCUGUUCGUUGAGAGACCACCCGGGAUAACAGUGCAACCAUGAGGGUGAAAUGGGGCACCCUUAGCUAAUUAAUUAGAGGAACUAGAGGUGUAGUUGCUUCGCCGUCGUGUCGUCAAUGGGGUCUAGGCACAGUGCUUGCUCUGCCGAGGCUGGGUGCCGAAGUUCUUUCAUUUUGCUUUUGUUAGUCACCCCCCUUCGGGGAGAGGUACUGUGUUUAUCAAACUGGAGAAACCUAACGGGCGGCUAUGACCUCUAGGGAAUCUUUGUAAAGGCUACGUAGUGAUACCCUGCCGGACCACCUAGGAAGUGGUCAAUAGGGAGUCAUGAUCCCUGGGCAAAAUGGGAAUCACGGCUCAUGGGUAAAGUGUGCGACCUCUGCAGAGGGUAUUGAAACUGAUAUAUCAGCCGUGCUCACGGUUAUGAGCGGCCUUGGGAUCCUCUUUAAUUAGAGAUACUUGAUCAGAGAUGGUUGGUUUACAGGUGGUGACAAGGAUGAUGGUUAUGACUAUGGUAAUGGUAAGUGGUAUUCUUUCCGUUUGGAAAGGGUACUUUGGGUUAAUAACUUGGGUUAAUGUUAAAAUCUGGCUCUCAAUUAAUAAUAAUAACCUGACCAACUAAAAGCAACUGCUUGACCUUAACCCCAAAUAAAGCUAGUCCACUACAGCCAAACAGGACAUUUGCUGAGUACGUUGAUGUGUACUCACCCUUGCUUUCACAAAACACCAGGUUGCCUUUGGUGCAAUCUAUGCUCGGGUAAAGAAGAAGGCGUCGAGGCGAAUCUCCAGGAGUUCCAGGACUUCGACGAGUUCGAGGAUUAGGCUAGCGACCUCCCCCAGUCAGCUGCCUGUGGCGGGUUUAUUUACGUUGGCUACGUUUCUGUUCUGUGUACUUUGAUUAUAUUAUGUAAAUGACUCUAGUCUUUCAUAUUAUUACUUAUCUUUAUUGUUAUUCGAAGCAUUGUGCUAUGGUGAGUCAUUUAUGUAAUCGCCGUGUACGUGAAUUUCUGAUCCUGGCACGUACAUGGUUCGCAUUCGGUUUACCUUCCAAAACCGGGUGUGACAUAAGUGGUAUCAAAGCUGUGCUGACUGUAGGACCGCUGACCUAGAGUAGCAUUGGCCAUUUUAAGGACUUAUUGAUUAUUACUUCAUCUCAUCCUUGAUUCUGCUUCAAAAUAUUAGUCACCUCGACUAAUUCUAUGUUGUGCUCCUAUAUGCCCCCUUGUCAAAAGUAUUUUAUUCUAGUAUGAUCUAUACUUCUCUCAAUCCAUUAGAUCUGAUCUCAGUCUUGUGCUUGCGACAUCUUUGUAGAUGCCCCUGGCCAUAACCUUUUUGUCUGUUGGGAUUCUUCCCUCUUCCGUCAUUAAAUUGCUACCCUUUGACUAUCUUUAUUCCCUUAGUAUUGACAUGCUCAUACUCCUAGAUUCUUCAAUACUCUUGUUUCAAAUACUUACAUCUGAAUUUCUCCUGCCUACUUAAACACUCUAGUUUAUAUAUCCAUGAACUUCUGGUCUUCUAAGAUCCCUCCCUAUUCCGUUGUUAAGUCGUUACCCUCUGCCUUUUUCUGUUCCCUUGUCUUGGUACGCUCAUAUCCUUGGAAUCUUGCACACCCUUAUUUUUAUAUACGCUUACCUUUAUAUCCCCAUGUUUGUUUAAGACAUUUCGGUUAACAUGCUUUUGACCACCCUUAUUUCCUGAUGAUCCAUGAGUGACCAUUCUAUUUCGCACAUCCUUGAUGAUCUCAUCGUUCCCUUAUAACUUCCCUCGGUAAUAAUUUCUAUUACUUCAACUGUUUUGUUGGACCCUUACCUAUUUUACCUUUAAUUGUUUUCUCCACUUCGUCAUUUCGCUAGUCUUGCCUUAACUCUAUCCUUUGUUAUGCCUUUCGUUAUUAUCACCUUCGCCUUUGACACCUCUAUAUCUUACCUUGAUGCCUAUAUUAUACCUGUGCUCCAAAAUCUUCUCUCUUUCGUCUCAAUUUUAAAAGUUGAAGGUUACCUAUUUUCCCUUGGUCGUAUCCCUUUCCUUGUCGCAUGCGAGUUUUUAACUCCAUCCUUUGUUGUGCUCCGGUUGGGUAUUAAUUUUACAUUUCUCAUCUCUUGAUCUUACCUUGGUGAUUACACUAUGUCCGUUCUCUAAAAUCUCCAAUCCCCAAUCUCAAUAUGAGAGCGGUGUUUUACUUACCUCACUCUUGGCUAUAUCCUCUUCUUUACCGCGUGUAAGCUUGGGCGCAAUUCCAUUCUCUGUUGUACUCAUAUCACUGGCUCUCUAAUACCUUCAUCUUUUCUCUUAUACCCUUGUAUGUUAUCGCCUUCGACCCUAGAGAUAUUUAUGUCUUCUACCUAAAUGCUUACCUUGAACUUAUCCUUUAAAAGCCUCCCUUUCUUUCAACCUAGUUUGAGAGCUGUGGGUUACCUACCUCUCCCUUGAUUUCUUUUCACUUCUUGUCGCCUUACAAGUUUUGUGUUAAUUCCAUCCGUUGCUGUUUUUUUAUUUACUAUCACCUUCACCUUGUCGUCCAUCGACCUUGCAUUGAUACUCAUCUUUAUUCCUACUCUUUAAAAAAAAUCCCCUCUCUUCCACCUCAAUUUGAGAGUGACAGUUUACCUAUCGGGCCCUUGGACGUAUCCUCUUCUUUUCCACUUGCAGAUCUUGUCUAAACUUCAUCCUUUGUGGUACUUAUAUCCUUGGUUCUUAUGCACAUUUACUUCCUCUCUUACAUUCUUGUUCGGUAUCACCUUUAGCCCUUGUAAUAUUCAUACCCUUACCUUCAUGCUUACUUUGAACCUCCCUUUAAAAGCCUUCUCUUUUCCAUCCCUGUUUGAGGAUAAUGCCUCAUCUAUUUCAUCAUUGACUGCUUCCCCUUCUUUGACACCUUGCAAGUCUUGUCUAAAAUAUAUUCUUUAUUGUGUGUUUGUCUGUUAUCACCUUAACCCUUGUCAUCCCUCGAUCUUUUACCUUGAUGCUUAUCCUGCACCUUCAUUUUAAAGCCACCUUUCCCAUUUCAGUUCAAGAGUGUUGUCUUACCAAUCCCGAUCCUGUUCGUUCCAUUUUCCUCUGCCUCGUUGCCAGUCCUAGCUUUUGCUCGAUAUCACCCUUACCUUCCUAAUAUCUGGAUCUUUCCAUGAUGCUUAUCCUAUGCCUACCUUUUGAAAUAUCAUCUUCCCCAUCUCGAUUUGAGAAUGGUGUUUUACCUAUCCUGACCUUGGUUGCAUUCUCUCUCUGUCGGUUCCAAUCCUUGCUUUAGCUCCAUCCUUUAUUAUGUUCCUUCCUCUAUCCUGCAUGUCUUAUCAUUCCCCUUGCCUUUCGUUGGCCUUAGAGUAGUUUUCCCUUUGUAAGGAAAGACCACCAUCUAGUUAACAUUAACGUGUAGCAACGAGAUGUUUGUUGUGGUGUGCCCAUGAUGUUUGUCUUUGUGCUAUGCCUAAUUUGCUUUUUUGAAGUGAGUGUUGAUGUGUUGUGGUUCUUGGUCCGCAAUGACAUCAGUUUACUAGGUGAUUGUCAUAGAGUUAGGUAGUUGGGUGCUCUCCCUUUUCUCUCUUUAAUCCAUCUAUGCUUACCUUUUCUACCUAUAUUCUUUCAUCUUGCACCUAUGCAGCUGACAACCUCCACUCCUUUUAACCAAUUAAGAUCAUAGUCGGCAACAUCUUCACCAAAUGCAUAUCAACGCUUCGGUUAAGGGGGUUAGCCGCUAACCCCAAUGAAGACAAUGCGAUCAACAUCAACCAACAAGAUCAAAGUGGCGCAGCGGAAGCGUGUGUGGGCCCAUAACCCACAGGUACAAGGGAUCCUCAAGAAUUGCAUCAAUCGGUCUCAAGCAUUUGCAGGUCAAAGCAACUAGUCCACAAGUUAAAGUUGCCAGAGUCGAAGUUGAGUUAGAAGAAGCUAUGAAAGACCGAUGAACCUAUCUCAUUUUCUUGCUAGCCUCUUCUUGAAUCUCGAGGACGAGAUUCCUGUUAAGGGGGUUAGAUUUGUAACACCCUAAAUUUGGGGGUAUAAAAUUUCUUUCCUAAUAUUCACCAAAUUCAGGUGUUACUCCCUCAUUUCUUUGCUUUCCUUCUAUUUUUCCUAAAUAAUGGAUAAUUAUUUUGUUAUAUGUUGGUUGUUACACUCAUGCCGUUGCAUAAUGUUUCCAAGUGCAAAUGUUUAUUUGUAUUCGAUUUUUUUUUAAAAAAACCCAGUCUAUUUAAAUAAAUAUGACUUACCGUAAUUAUUCUUUUGAAAUUGGAUAAUUUAUUGUUUAUGAUUUACUACAGUUUUGGGAAUAUUUUAAUAUAUAUAUAUAUUCAUAUAUGUAUAAAAAUAAAAGAAAGAAAAGAAAAGAAAAUAACAAAAUAAGCUGAGCACAGCCGUGGCCUUUGGCCUAGCGACCAGGCUCCACAUGAGCGGGCUCUCUCUUUCUCACUCUAACAGGUGGGUGUGACACCCCAGUGUCACCUAGGGUUUCUCUUAAAAAGCCACACCAAGAACCAUUAUUUUAUGUGAACCAAAGUAAGCAUGAGCAUCAAAAUAACUUAAGUGAUAAAGAAUUCACCAAGUAUAUGGUUAAAAGUGUCAUGAUCAAAACAAUUGAGUCCUUGAAAAGAUAAGAAUGUGCAACCCUAAUUAAGAACUCUAAGUAGACCCCCAUGAACAAAAUUCAAGAAGAUGUGAAAAGAGGAUGAAAAGUUUAAAAUUGUGAGUUGAGCCAAUUAUAUAAGUUAAAGUAUAUUUGCUAAGUAACAAGAAAGAUUAAGAAGGCUUAGCCAAAAUAACUCAAAUAAAUCCCCAAAUCAGCCCUUGAUCAAUGAACCCUUAGAGAAAUUCAGAUUUCUGAAUUUCUGAAUUUCAGACCUCUUCUCAAGGAUCAUCUGUGUUCUCUGUUUUUCCAAACUCAAAGCCAGAAGAUCCAAAUAUCAAAGUCGUGCCAAAUUACCUUGAACACAUUCUGGGAAAGUUUGAACUCAAACCAAAUCCUUUUGACACGGUUUUGGCGCAGCUCAACCUCGGGACCAGGCAUUCUGACACUGGCACCUUGGUGACGCUACAACUCCCUGUCCCUAGCCUAAAACCGCACGUCGUCCAUACACAAAAGACAAAGCUUGGUCUGGUGAACAAAUCCCUUGCAGUGAUCUUGCCCAAAUUCGCGAAGAUUUGCUCCCAAUCGGCGCUUGAACAGGGGCAGAGGCAACGGGAACACGUGUUCGACCGCGGCUGACACCCCCGGUUCACGCCCGUUCGUGCACCGCGCCUUCCCAGUGCACGCCCGCGCGCACUCGCCGGUCCACGACCGCCCGUGCACCGCGCCGUGCCUAUAAAGCCUCCCCAGGCGCGCCCCACUUCGCCCCGCACUCACCCUCAUCGGCCAGCCACCGUUCCUUAGCUCCGGCGAGCGAAUUUCCGCCCGCCAUUGCCGCCAGAGCUACGGCCGCCGUGGCCAGCCCACUCCAGCCGCCCUCCAGCCCAACCAGUGCUUCGGCUAGCUCCGCCAGUAGCCCGUGAAGCUCGCCAAGCCCUCGGACCCGACCGGACUUCACCGGAGGCCCGAGAUCAACCUCACCGGACUUCGGUCUUCCGCCGCCGCGCGUGGACCGAGCUAUCCAGUAAGUCUCCGCCCAAUUCCUUUCGCUCAUGUCUUCUCUGGCAUCCCGUGGACCUCCCUGACCUAUUUAAUUGAACUACCUCGCCGUGACCAGGCCGGUCUCCUCGCCGCCGACGAGUAUCCCCGCCUGCGCGCGUGGACCGACCAACUCCGGCCAUCUCCGUCAACGUUCCGCACACCGUUGUGGUCCCCGCGACCUCCCCUUCAUCCUCGACCACUUCACCGGAACAGUCUCGCCGCCGGUAAGCCCCUCCGCCCUUUUCUUCGCCGCGGCUACUGUUUGAGGUAGAAGAAGGACCUCGGGUUAGGUUUUGUAGAACCCGAGGGGUUUUCUGUAAUGUCAGCGACUCAUGUGAAUAGUAACCUAAGGACUGAUUCGCGAAGGAAAACUUAGAAAAACCGCCAGGGACCCCAGUGCAAAGUGGUUUUCCUUUUAAUCAAUUCUGUUAUUCUUUUAAAUAACCAGAGAACUUAGAAAAUCCAUAACUUGAUGAAAUCUUAAUGAAAAGCUGUCAAACCAAUUUUGCUAGCUCUGGAAUAUUAUGGUCUAUCAUUUAAAAUUAUUGAACCAUAUGCUUUCUGUUCUAAAUUUUAGAGUUUAAAAUUAAAAACAGAAACCCCCUAAACCUUGUUUAAUUAAGGAAAAUUUGUUUUUCUUUUGUGCUGAGCUUAAGAAAAUUUGUAGAUGCUUAUACCUUAAUUAGACACUGUUUAAAAAUAGUAGGAGCCCCAGCAUUAGAGAUUAUGAUGUAGUUAUUCAAUUAAAGCCAUUUUGUCCACAACUUAAAGAAAAUCAGAAAAGCAUUAGAAAAUGUUGAACAGUGAUUAGUAAUAUUUUUCCUAGUUUACUUAUGCAACCAAGAACCUAGGAAAAAUGCAGAGACCAUUAAUUAGGACCAGUUUCUAAUUAAGAUGCUUUAAUUAGCCUUAUAAAGACUGAAAAUCAAUUAUUAAAAUUGCAAAACCAUAACCAAAGUGGUUAACAAAAAUCCAGUGAACUUAUAACCACCAGAGCCCCACUACAAAAAUACAGAACACCCCAGCCUAACUUUUUAAGUAGGGAAAAUAAAUACAGAAUGAUAAUAAGGCAUUUUUCCAAUAAAUCAUAAGCAACCCCUUUUAAUGUGAUAAUGGGCAACCAAAAAUUAGCUAAGUCUAUGAUGAGAUAAACCACCAGAGAAAAAUGCAAACCCAUGAAAAAGAAGUGAACCCAUACCUUUUGCUAGUAAUUUGUGAGAAAGGCCAUUUGACUUAAAUAAUGCAAACCACCCCUUCCCUUAAGCAAAAAGAAACCAAACUCCAGAAUGAUUGCUCUUGCACAAAAUACUAGCUAAGAAAAAUAAGAACUCUGUUGUUUGAUGUUUUUCAAACAUAGUGGUAGUAGAAAGCACCCCUUUGGCUAGAAACCUUAAGAAAACCAUAGGAAAAGAAUUAAGAGGUAUUAAUGACUAGAAAUUUGUAUCAAGUCAUGUUAUGACACCUAAAAGCCAGCAAAAAUAAGUUUUAAAGAAUUACCCACUGUUAAAUAAUAGUUGUAGUUCAAAGUACCCCUUCUGCCCUAAAAUUUGGUAAUUUUGUCCAGAGAAAACCAUUCACUUUCUGAACCCCAAAUUUUGAGACAGAGAAUCAUACACCAGUAGCAAGCCACUGUAAUGUUUGCAGAAUUUUUGGAAUUUUAUAAAAGCAACUUGUAGUUCAAACCUACUCCAAAACAUUAAAAAGAAUAAAAGAAAAGAGAAGAAGGAAUAAACCUCAUCCCAUUAAAACUAACCCAAUUUACUAAGUAUACCACUAAAAGGGUUUUACAUAAGUAAGGUUAACUUGUUUAAAUUCAAAAGACCCUACAUCUUUAAAAGUUGUAAAUUCUAAAGCACCUAUUGUAUCAUGCAUAUAUCUUACGCAUUGCAUUCAUUAGAUUGUAAUCUUGCCGACGGAGAGUACGUGCUCAUCCCCGAGCAAGGACCUGUCCAAGAGGAGGACCAGGAGCAGGCUUCAGAGGCUGCUAUUGAGGAUCUCCCCGCAGCCCCAGCAAUUGAAGGCAAGCCCCGGUUUUAUGCAUAACCAUGUUAUUAUAUGCUACUUUACUACACUUAAUGCUUGUAGGACUGUAAUGUGCACUUAAGUGUAGGAGUUGGUUGAAACCCUAGUUGCAUGAACUCAGGAUUCCUUUUUGAGAUGAAUACUAGUAUGCUAGGUCGAGUAGCUGCUUGCUAAUCAGGAUCUCGGUAGAAGUCGAGUGAUUUUUCUAGCACUCGCGCGAGGUCAGGAAUUGAUUGUAUUCAUCUUGAUAAUGGGAUAUAUGUUGGUCUAUGGACUUGGAUCCAGGGAGGAUGCCUUGCCCAUGAGACGGGAAAAAAUGAAUUAAGGAUUAAUGUGUGGAUACCUGAGUCAAGCUUUUGAACGUACUAAGCACAUGCCGGGAAAAAUGGUAACCGGUAAACCUAGUACCUGAGUGAAGCCGGGCGCGGACUUUAUCCCUCAUGCGACCUGAGACAUGGUCUCCCAUGCUAGCUAUGGUGGGUACAAGUGCGGUCACUGCACGGCGGCAGCCGGGGUCAGUGGAGCAUUGUAUGCCAAGGCGGUGAGGCCUGGACGCGAACGGGGAAUCGAUGGGGACGGUUGUCAUGUGUGGGGUCGGAGUGCCCUGACAUGCCGUGUGUUUAGGUUUACCUUGCAAGGUUUAAAAACUCGAUUCGAAUCGUCUGCUUCUCGCAGCUAAUGAGACUGCUUGAUUCCUUGUACUGCAUCGAGUAAGAAGUGAAAUGUGGAUUAUAUGAGAUAACUUGUUGAUUGAACUAAUUGAUUGUUACCAUGUAUGCUUAGAAGGAGCAAAUCUAGCUAAGAUAAUAAUGGUAGAAUUUGAAAAGCUAAAAGUUGAUUUUAGAAACAGCUAGUGCUUUUGGCAAACCAAACCCCUCAGCCAAACAGCUGCAUAGUCUAGAGGUAGAGGAGUAGACUCCUCACACCGGUUAAGUCUAGCUGAGUAUUAGUAUACUCAGCCUUGCUUGUGGCACCAUUUUUGCAGGUACCAUGCAGGAUGUAGUUGAUGGUGUGACUUGGCCUACCACCCUGCCGAUGUGUGAGGACUUUUAUCUUCUUUCUCUUCGGUUCUGGCUCGCUAGGAGCAAUUGUAGUUUCUUCUUUUGCAGAGGUUGUGUUUUUCCUCUUCUGCCUUCGAAUGGGAUAGCAAUAGUCAGGGUAGACAAACCCGAUUGCAUCGAAUACCCGAUUCAGCCUCUUCUUCUUUCGGCCUCCGAAGGCUGCUGACAUUGCAGUGUCUUCGGCCUUUGAGUAAGCCCCAAGCAGUUCAUCACUUAAAUUUUCAAUACUUUUUAACCAGUCGUCAUCUGGCUCGACAAAUUUAUCUCCAAAUUUAAAAGUGUACUUCAACCUGAUAAGUCCACCUUCGUCGGCCUCUUUUACGGUUUCUUGUGGCAUUUCCCAUUUCUCCGCAAGUGGCCAUACCCUGAAGGCAAUAUGCUCUUGAACCAAGUCUCUUGUUCCGAUGAAAGAGCAGACUGCGCCGAAGGCCCUCUGGCAUUCUUCGGCAGUUUCAUUCAUUUCAACCUUCGGCCUCCGAAGGCCGAAGCUUUGCCAAAUAGGGCGCAUGAUUAUACCCUUGAUAUCUUCUCGUAUUGUCAGAUCAUUCUUCACAUAGAACCAUUCUGUCAUCCAGUCUCCGGGCCAUCUCUUCCGAAAGGUUGGCACGGGGCAGCUUGACCCGGACCGAGAAACGAAACUGUAGCAGCCAAAAUUGUUGUGAUACUGUUCCUUACCCCAAGGUUUUGUUUCAUAUGAUAAUUCAUGUAUAUUGCAGAAGCUUUUUGCGUCAGGCUUCAGACCUUGGCUUCUCACGGCCCACACGAAGAUAUUCAGCUUUAUAAUUGCCUCGGGGGUAAGUUGAUGGAGAUAGAUUUCGAAUAUUUUCAGCACCUCCACAACGAAGCUGCUCAAAGGAAAUCGCAGUCCAGCUUUUAAAAAGCUUCGGUACACUACGACUUCAUUCUCUUCAGGGUGGGGGCAAGUUUUCUCCCCUUCGUCAACCCUCACAAUGGACAAAUCCCGAAAAUAUCUUCCUUUCAUGUUGAUAAGAUGAUUCUCUCUGAUGGUCGAUUUACCAUAAACUGAAUGGCUUGGUCGCCAUAGACGAUCUUCGGAGUCUUCACCACCACUGUCCACAUCAUAGCUGUCACUGUCACCAGUAUCCUCAGAUAAACCUUCCAGAAUCUCCUUGGUAAUUUUCUCUGUGUUGGUCUUUGACAUCGCUAUAAGAAAACCCAAAUUUUUCUCUUCGUCGAGGCUCAGCUUCGUCUCAGCAGCAGUCUUCUUAUCUUCGGACAUCUUCGGAGACACUAAAAAACUAUUUUUAAAGUCGAAGCUUCAAAACUAAAAGCUUAGCAAAUCGUAGUGCACAAGAGCUAAAAAUUGAGUAAGCGAGAGCAGUCGGCCAGAAAGCGUGUCAAAUGAGUUUGCGGUAUGCCCGUAUUUAUACGCCAAAAGCGUUGAAAAUUCAAAGACCCCGCUUGUCAGUGAUUGUUGCUAUUCUAGCAAAGGGAAGGUGUUUUUUCGGACCUUCGGCGAAAAGCCUUCGUUCGCGUCGCAAUUUAAAUUCGUUAUUUUAAACAAAUUAAUAUUGCGAGGGGCUACUGUUGGGGACCUUCGGCAUCCGAAGGUCCUCAAAAACAGGAUUUAACAGUAUUUCUGGAAGUAUAAUGUGUGAGCAGGUACCUUCGAACUCAAGUCGUCAUCACGCCAGGGGAAGACCAGGAUAAUACGAAGGUCUUGAUACAACGCCGAAGGUGUCAGCAGGAAAGCUUCGGCGUGGUUGCAGAAAAUGAAACCGACUUAAAGAUGAAAAGGCUAUUCAGACCUCGAUAGAAUACCAUAGAAUUAUUAUCAAAUGUAAAGGGCAUGAAUGUAAUUUUGUAUGGGCUGCGUCCCGUGCCUAUAAAUAGGUGAACAGUACCCCCAUACUGUUCACGCUGACUUGGCAUUCGCUUUUUGCGUCACGCCUGUACUGUCAUUUCCUUCCGAUUAAAGGUACACUUGUAAUUCAACAAUGUUUUUGUUUAUGCCCGAUAACGACAUAUGAUUGUUCAUGUUGUUUUUUAUAUUCUUUAUAUUUCAUCCUUCGUCAUUGUUUAAUGAAUAUAUGAAUGUAUGUCCUUCAUAACCUUCGUCCGCAAGUCAUUACAUCCUAAGGGAAAUAAUGCUUCGAAGGACGAAGGACUUUAACGAUUAACAUUUUCUAUGUUGCCUUGUUCUUAACUCAUAGCACUUGAGAACAAGUCCCCAACAACUUUUUUGAAUAAUUUCUCCGGCCAUUUCUCGGCCGCCAUUAUCCCAGAUAUCGGUGAAAAAUUUUCCACCGAUCAUGCUAGCUUCGGCCGAAGGAUCUCUUGCAUCUUCAAAGGACAAAGCAGCUUCGGAUUGUGCUAAAAUUUUUACAUGUCCACAGCCCUUCUUCUCUAAAAUGGUGGCAAUUCCUCUGGCACCAGAGAAAGCACAUAUAUCUCCACGGCUAUUUAAAAUUUCUUCGAAGGCCUCAGCUUCGUGGUUGAUCCAUUCGAUGGGAUCUUCGGGAUUGCCUCUCGUAAAGUUUUCUUCGCUUGAGAAGGCGCCGACCCUGGCGAAGCUAGCUUUUAACUUCUUAACACACUCUAUAGAUUUGUUAUAGCAUCUUUUCUUGGACGAACGAAGCUCUUCAACAGUUACUUCUAAGUGAUCUGCCCAUUGGUCGCUGAGUUCUCGCCUUAUUUCUUCAAGUAUGCGUUCUUCCUUGGCUCUGGCCAGUUGUUUCCGAAGAUCUUCAAUUUCGCGCUUCUGAGCUUCAGCUUGACCCUUAAAAGAAGCUUCGUCUUCUUUUAUUUUAUUUAUCAAUGAGUGUAAUAUUUUAUCUUUUUCGAGGCCUUCGUUCCUCAGUUCAAUUACUUCGGAACGAAGGUUGCUCAGGGCUAUAGCACAUCCUUCGUCUUCAGCAUCUUUCUGUGCCCUGAGGGCAUUGCUAAGCAUCAGACCCUGCAAAGCGAAAUAUGUGUGUAUCAAUAAAUUUACACAAACAAAAAACUUUGGUCUCAACAAAAAACACAAGGAUCCUAUUUGUCGCACCUUUAAGAUAUUAUAGGCCAGGCUGUCGGCCAGAUCGUUCUUCGACAGCACCGAGAGCCCGUCUUCUAAAGUUGGGAAUCCGAAGCUCUUGCUCAUCUCCCGGCAGACAGAAAUCUCCUUGCUGUCAGGGAGACAAUACAAAAAGUCUUCUUCUCCACUACCAUUGAAUAUUAGCGCCCCCUUUGGAUACUUCAGUUUUUGGGCAUAGCGCUGGGCCUCUUGCUCUUCUUUUUCUGAUAGUUUUUUCCCCGAAGCAUGACGAACAAUAUAAUCACGAAUUUUGGAGGAUGCUUCGGGGGCAACGACACCGAUUUCUUCAACAAAAGUUGGCUUUGUUAUUUUUUCUUCCUCAGUUUCCAAGGAUUUUAUCUUUACGGGCUCUGAGGCCCCAGCUUCGGCUUUAGUUUCUUGCUCUGGAGCUUUUGUAUCAGAAAUUUCAGUUGUUGUUUCAGGAGUGGCAGCAGCCUUCUUCGGAGGUGUGCUUGAAGAUUUGAUUGUUUCCAGUACAUCUAGCACAUUAGCAAUUCUCUUUCUUUUCGGAGUCACUGCUGGCACUUUUUGAUUUUUUACUGUCUCAACAUUUGCUGCAGGACUCACAACUUCUGAUGCUUUUUCUUCAGAUGGUUUUUUCACUUCUUCCAUUUUUUCUGUGGAUGGCGCUUCGGCCAUUUUUUCGGUUUCUGGUAGCAAAAUCUUCGGUUCUUCCAAUUCUAUCCUUUUUGGCUUCGGCCAUUUCUGCAACUACUGGCAGCAAGGUUGGUUUGGUUGGCCUUUUAGCCUCGGUGGCCGAAGAAGUUUUCCCGGUAAACUCAGGCACCGAAGCUGGUUCAAUAUAGCGCGGCCGAUGUGUGAGGACCUUUAUCUUCUUUCUUUUCGGUUCUGGCUCGCUAGGAGCAGUUUCAGCUUCUUUUUUUGCAGAGGUUGUGUUUUUUCUCUUCUGCCUUCGAAUGGGAUAGCAAUAGUCAGGGUAGACAAACCCAAUUGCAUCAAAUACCCGAUUCAACCUCUUCUUUUUUCGGCCUCCGAAGGCUGCUGACAUCGCAGUAUCUUCGGCCUUCGAAUAAGCCCCAAGCAACUCAUCACUUAAAUUUUCAAUGCUUUUUAACCAGUCAUCAUCUGGCUCAACGAAUUUAUCUCCGAACUUGAAGGUGUACUUCAGUCUGACAAGUCCACCUUCGUCGGCCUCUUUUAUGAUUUCUUGCGGCGUUUCCCAUUUCUCCGCGAGCGGCCAUACCCGGAAGGCAAUAUGCUCUUGUACUAAAUCUCUCGUUCCAAUAAAAGAACAGAUAACGUCGAAGGCCCUCUGGCAUUCUUCGGCAGCUUCAUUCAUUUCAACCUUCGGCCUCCGAAGGCCGAAGCUUUGCCAAAUAGGGCGCAUAAUUAUACCUUUGAUAUCUUCUCGUACUGACAGGUCAUUCUUCACAUAAAACCAUUCCGUCAUCCAGUCGCCGGGCCAUCUUUUCCGAAAGGUUGGCACGGGACAGCUUGACCCGGAGCGAGAAACGAAACUGUAGCAGCCAAAAUUAUUAUGAUACUGUUCCUUACCCAAAGGUUUUGUUUCGUAUGAUAAUUCGUGUAUAUUGCAGAAGCUUUUUGCAUCAGGCUUCAGACCUUGGCUUCUCACGGCCCACACGAAGAUAUUCAGUCUUAUAAUUGCCUCGGGGGUAAGUUGGUGAAGAUAGACUUCGAAGAUUUUCAACACCUCCACGACGAAGUUGCUCAAGGGAAAUCGUAGCCCAGCUUUCAAAAAGCUUCGGUACACUACGACUUCAUUCUCUUCAGGGUGUGGACAAGUCUUCUCCCCUUCGUCGGCCCUCACAAUGGACAAAUCCCGGAAAUACCUCCCUCUCAUGUUGACAAGAUGAUUCUCUUUGAUAGUUGAUUUACCAUAAACUGAGUGGCUUGGUCGCCAGGGACGAUCUUCGGAGUCUUCACCACCGCUGUCCACAUCAUAACUGUCGCUGUCACCAGUAUCCUCAGACAAACCUUCUAGAAUCUCCUUGGUGAUUUUUUCCGUGUUGGUCUUCGACAUCGCUAUAAGAAACCCCAAGUUUUUCUCUUCGUCAAGACUCAGCUUCGUCUCAGCAGCAGCCUUCUAAUCUCCAGACAUCUUCGGAAACACUAAAAACUGUUUUCAAAGCCGAAGCUUCAAAACUAAAAGCUCAGAAAUUCUUAAGUACACAAAAGCUAAAAAUCGAGUGAGCGAGAGCAGAUGACAAGAAAGCGUGCCAAAUGAGUUUGCGGUAUGACCGUAUUUAUACGCCCAGUGCGUUAAAAAUUGAAAGACCCCGCUUGUCAGUGAAUGUUGCUAUUCUAGCAAAGGGAAGGUGUUUUUUUGGACCUUCGGCAUAAAGCCUUCGUCCAUAUCGCGAUCUAAAUUUAUUGUUUUAAACAAAUUAAUAUUGCGAGGGGCUACUGUUGGGGGCCUUCGGCUUACGAAGGUCCUCAAAAACAGGAUUUAACAGUAUUUCUGGAGUUUAAUGUGUGAACAGGUAUCUUCGGACUCAAGUCGGUAUCACAGCAGACCAGAAUAAUACGAAGGUUGAUACAGCGCCGAAGGUGUGAGCAGGAAAGCUUCGGCAUGAUAGCAACAAAAUGAAACCGACUUAAAGAUGAAAAGGCUAUUCAGACCUCGAUAGAUUACAAUAGAAUUAUUAUCAAAUGUAAAGGGCAUGAAUGUAAUUUUGCAUAGGCUGUAACCUGUGCCUAUAAAUAGGUGAACAGUAUCCCCGUACUAGGGGGCUGAUCUGGCAUUCGCUUUUGCGUCACGCUUGUACUUUCAUCUCCUUCAAGUUGAAGGUACAUUUGUAAUCCAACGUUAUUUCUGUUUAUACAUGACAGUAAUAUAUAAUUGUUUAUGUUGUCCUUUAUAUUCCUUACAAUUCAUCCUUCGUCAUUGUAUAAUGUAUUUAUGAAGGUACGCCCUUCAUAACCUUCGUCCGAAAACCAUUAUAUCCUAAGGGGGAUAAUGCUUCGAAGGACGAAGGACUUUACCGAUUAACAUUUUCUAUGUUGCUUUGUUCUUGACUCAUAGCAUUUGAGAACAAGUCCCCAACACUGGUCAUUUCUUUUGGCCCAAGAUGAGAAGAGAUGUGGCGAGAUUGGUUGCUCGUUGCACGACAUGUCAAAAGGCGAAGUCACGGUUAAAUCCACACGGUUUGUAUUUGCCUCUACCCGUUCCCAGGCUCCUUGGGAAGAUAUUUCUAUGGAUUUUGUGCUGGGAUUGCCUAGGACUAGGAAGGGACGUGAUAGUGUGUUUGUGGUUGUUGAUAGAUUUUCUAAGAUGGCACAUUUCAUACCAUGUCAUAAAACUGACGAUGCUACUCAUAUUGCUGAUUUGUUCUUUCGUGAAAUUGUUUGCUUGCAUGGUGUGCCCAACACAAUCGUUUCUGAUCGUGAUGCUAAAUUUCUUAGUCAUUUUUGGAGGAAUUUGUGGGCAAAAUUGGGGACUAAGCUUUUAUUUUCUACUACAUGUCAUCCCCAAACUGAUGGUCAAACUGAAGUUGUGAAUAGAACUUCGUCUACUAUGUUAAGGGCUGUUCUAAAGAAGAAUAUUAAGAUGUGGGAGGAUUGUUUGCAUCAUGUUGAAUUUGCUUAUAAUCGAUCAUUGCAUUCUACUACAAAGAUGUGCCCAUUUCAGAUUGUAUAUGGUUUGUUGCCUCGUGCUCCUAUUGAUUUAAUGCCUUUGCCAUCUUCUAAAAAACUAAAUUUUGAUGCUACUAGGCGUGCUGAAUUGAUGUUAAAAUUGCAUGAAACUACUAAAGAAAACAUAGAGCAUAUGAAUGCUAGAUAUAAGUUUGCUAGUGAUAAAGGUAGAAAGGAAUUAAAUUUUGAACCGGGAGAUUUAGUUCGGUUGCAUUUGAGAAAGGAAAGGUUUCCUAAAUUGCGAAAAUCUAAAUUGUUGCCUCGAGCCGAUGGACCGUUUAAAGUGCUAGAGAAAAUUAACGACAAUGCAUAUAGGUUAGAUCUGCCUACAGACUUUGGGGUUAGCCCCACAUUUAACAUUGUAGAUUUAAAGCCCUACUUGGGAGAGGAAGUUGAGCUUGAGUCGAGGACGACUCAAAUGCAAGAAGGGGAGAAUGAUGCAGACAUCCAUACUAUUGAUACGUCUAUGCCAAUACAAGUAUCAAUUUCUGGUCCCAUUACUCGCACUCGUGCUCGUUAACUCAACGAUCAGGUGAUUACACUCUUGAGUUCAUGUCCAUCAUAUUUAGACCAUGGAGACCCGUCCACUCUUGUUUUGCUUAGGAACCAGGGAGAAGACCGAAAGGGAAAAGGAUUUGAACAUGCUGGAUUCGGACUGCAGAAGAACACCAACUUGUGACGGUCACCACGGUCACAUGCGGGCUUGGAUUGGAAUGUUCAAGCACAACAUAGAAAGCUUAUCAAGUCUAGUUUCAUAUGGAUCUGGAAUUAUAGUCAUAUCUGUUCCGAGGCUGUCGUUAUCAUUGUUUCCUUACCGAGACAUUUCCUGCCUUUUCUGCCCAUGGUGCUGCGUCACCCUAUUUUGGCCCAAUGGGUCGUGUAUCAAGUUGGGUCCAUUAGGGAUGCAUCCUAGGGUUGCAUCACGACCCCAAAACCCUUGUGGUCAUCCUCCCAUGUUUAUAAACCCCCUAGCCGCAACCAAGAACAACGGGUUUUGUUUAGAUCAAGUUUAGCUCUCACUACUUGCUUGUAAGCGUGCGUGCUGGUUCAGCCGCCUGUCUUCUUGUCUUUGGAACCCCACCAUAUUGGAGUUUGAUUUUUAAACCUACAUUUACAUUUGGUAAUUCAGUACUUGUUCUACUUGUUCUUGCUAGUUCUUCGAUUGCUUGCAGGACGAGUGCCCUAAUUGCCGGGGUGUCACGCUCCACAAGAUCGUGACAGCCAUAGGAGGUGGUGUAUCGGUUGCUAAGGCACAGCAUCUUUGGAAGGCUGUAGUCAGGCCGUGAACAUCGUAUCCUCCACCAAUCGAGUUAUUCCACACCCUCUCAUCGAAAGAUCGGGCAUUCACCCAAUGGGUGCACAUCAGGUAUGCCUUAAAUAGAUAUGAGGAAACCAAAGGCAUCAAAUUCAAGAAAAUGAUCGGACAUGUCUUUCCUAAAUUGGGUUGAUAAAGCGACAAUGCAAUCCUCCAGGAGAGGCAAAAUAGAAUAGAGAUAUCAUCUUGCACCAACCAAACAAGGGAAUGGUUUUGGAAGGAGAUAUAACUCGAGAUUCUUGUUUUAAGCCCGAGUACACUUUAUGUUCAACAAAGAAAUUAUCUAAGUGUUUAUUUGUAUGUGUUUGGUCGUGGAGGGAUAACGGAAAAAAUCAAAUUUGGGUCAUGGUUCACUAAAUAAGAACAUGGCCUAAUUUUGGGUUUAGGCAAUUAGGUCACCAACAUUCUAUCGUCACAUCAAGCACAAGAGCAAACACAAUUUUACUAAUGGUCAAAUUAUGAAAAGCUGGAAGACAUCUAAACACGUAUCUCUAAGACAUCACAUCAUUUACAAUCACCAAGUAUUGUAAUAAAGGUGAGAGAAGCAUUUUGGUGCACAGGUGACAAACACGAUGCAACAAUCAGGAUGCAUGCUCGUCCUAUGCAUCCUCACAAAUUUUUGCCAAUCUAAUGUGGGAAUAGUGUUCUACAUCGGUGGCAUACUUAUGACUCUCUCGGUAUUUUGCUAGUUGUCAGCUACACAUACGUUUUUGAGGUUAGUGUACCUGCAGAAAAUUUCAUCGCAGCCCAAUUUCCCAUGAUGCAAGAUCCACACAUGACAAUUUAUCACAGUUUAUACUUGUUGGGGACUUGUUCUCAAAUGCUAUGAGUCAAGAACAAGGCAACAUAGAAAAUGUUAAUCGGUAAAGUCCUUCGUCCUUCGAAGCAUUAUCCCCCUUAGGAUAUAAUGAUUUUCGGACGAAGGUUAUGAAGGGCGUACCUUCAUAAAUACAUUAUACAAUGACGAAGGAUGAAUUGUAAGGAAUAUAAAGAACAACAUAAACAAUUAUAUAUUACUGUCAUGUAUAAACAGAAAUAACGUUGGAUUACAAAUGUACCUUCAACUUGAAGGAGAUGAAAGUACAAGCGUGACGCAAAAGCGAAUGCCAGAUCAGCCCCCUAGUACGGGGAUACUGUUCACCUAUUUAUAGGCACAGGUUACAGCCUAUGCAAAAUUACAUUCAUGCCCUUUACAUUUGAUAAUAAUUCUAUUGUAAUCUAUCGAGGUCUGAAUAGCCUUUUCAUCUUUAAGUCGGUUUCAUUUUGUUGCUAUCAUGCCGAAGCUUUCCUGCUCACACCUUCGGCACUGUAUCAACCUUCGUAUUAUUCUGGUCUGCUGUGAUACCGACUUGAGUCCGAAGAUACCUGUUCACACAUUAAACUCCAGAAAUACUGUUAAAUCCUGUUUUUGAGGACCUUCGUAAGCCGAAGGCCCCCAACAGUAGCCCCUCGCAAUAUUAAUUUGUUUAAAACAAUAAAUUUAGAUUGCGAUAUGGACGAAGGCUUUAUGCCGAAGGUCCGAAAAAACACCUUCCCUUUGCUAGAAUAGCAGCAUUCACUGACAAGCGGGGUCUUUCAAUUUUUAACGCACUGGGCGUAUAAAUACGGUCAUACCGCAAACUCAUUUGGCACGCUUUCUUGUCAUCUGCUCUCGCUCACUCGAUUUUCAGCUUUUGUGUACUUAAGAAUUUCUGAGCUUUUAGUUUUGAAGCUUCGGCUUUGAAAAUAGUUUUUAGUGUUUCCAAAGAUGUCUGGAGAUAAGAAGGCUGCUGCUGAGACGAAGCUGAGUCUUGACGAAGAGAAAAACUUGGGGUUUCUUAUAGCGAUGUCGAAGACCAACACGGAAAAAAUCACCAAGGAGAUUCUAGAAGGUUUGUCUGAGGAUACUGGUGACAGCGACAGUUAUGAUGUGGACAGCGGUGGUGAAGACUCCGAAGAUCGUCCCUGGCGACCAAGCCACUCAGUUUAUGGUAAAUCAACUAUCAAAGAGAAUCAUCUUGUCAACAUGAGAGGGAGGUAUUUCCGGGAUUUGUCCAUUGUGAGGGCCGACGAAGGGGAGAAGACUUGUCCACACCCUGAAGAGAAUGAAGUCGUAGUGUACCGAAGCUUUUUGAAAGCUGGGCUGCGAUUUCCCUUGAGCAACUUCGUCGUGGAGGUGUUGAAAAUCUUCGAAGUCUAUCUUCACCAACUUACCCCCGAGGCAAUUAUAAGACUGAAUAUCUUCGUGUGGGCCGUGAGAAGCCAAGGUCUGAAGCCUGAUGCAAAAAGCUUCUGCAAUAUACACGAAUUAUCAUACGAAACAAAACCUUGGGGUAAGGAACAGUAUCAUAAUAAUUUUGGCUGCUACAGUUUCGUUUCUCGCUCCGGGUCAAGCUGUCCCGUGCCAACCUUUCGGAAAAGAUGGCCCGGCGACUGGAUGACGGAAUGGUUUUAUGUGAAGAAUGACCUGUCAGUACGAGAAGAUAUCAAAGGUAUAAUUAUGCGCCCUAUUUGGCAAAGCUUCGGCCUUCGGAGGCCGAAGGUUGAAAUGAAUGAAGCUGCCGAAGAAUGCCAGAGGGCCUUCGGCGUUAUCUGUUCUUUUAUUGGAACGAGAGAUUUAGUACAAGAGCAUAUUGCCUUCCGGGUAUGGCCGCUCGUGGAGAAAUGGGAAAUGCCGCAAGAAAUCAUAAAAGAGGCCGAUGAAGGUGGACUUGUCAGACUGAAGUACACCUUCAAGUUCGGAGAUAAAUUCGUUGAGCCAGAUGAUGACUGGUUAAAAAGCAUUGAAAAUUUAAGUGAUGAGUUGCUUGGGGCUUAUUCGAAGGCCGAAGAUACUGCGAUGUCAGCAGCCUUCGGAGGCCGAAAAAAGAAGAGGUUGAAUCGGGUAUUUGAUGCAAUUGGGUUUGUCUACCCUGACUAUUGCUAUCCCAUUCGAAGGCAGAAGAGAAAAAACACAACCUCUGCAAAAGAAGAAGCUGAAACUGCUCCUAGCGAGCCAGAACCGAAAAGAAAGAAGAUAAAGGUCCUCACACAUCGGCCGCGCUAUAUUGAACCAGCUUCGGUGCUUGAGUUUACCGGGAAAACUUCUUCGGCCACCGAGGCUAAAAGGCCAACCAAACCAACCUUGCUGCCAGUAGUUGCAGAAAUGGCCGAAGCGCCAAAAAGGAUAGAAUUGGAAGAACCGAAGAUUUUGCUACCAGAAACCGAAAAAAUGGCCGAAGCGCCAUCCACAGAAAAAAUGGAAGAAGUGAAAAAACCAUCUGAAGAAAAAGCAUCAGAAGUUGUGAGUCCUGCAGCAAAUGUUGAGACAGUAAAAAAUCAAAAAGUGCCAGCAGUGACUCCGAAAAGAAAGAGAAUGGCUAAUGUGCUAGAUGUACUGGAAACAAUCAAAUCUUCAAGCACACCUCCGAAGAAGGCUGCUGCCACUCCUGAAACAACAACUGAAAUUUCUGAUACAAAAGCUCCAGAGCAAGAAACUAAAGCCGAAGCUGGGGCCUCAGAGCCCGUAAAGAUAAAAUCCUUGGAAACUGAGGAAGAAAAAAUAACAAAGCCAACUUUUGUUGAAGAAAUCGGUGUCGUUGCCCCCGAAGCAUCCUCCAAAAUUCGUGAUUAUAUUGUUCGUCAUGCUUCGGGGAAAAAACUAUCAGAAAAAGAAGAGCAAGAGGCCCAGCGCUAUGCCCAAAAACUGAAGUAUCCAAAGGGGGCUCUAAUAUUCAAUGGUAGUGGAGAAGAAGACUUUUUGUAUUGUCUCCCUGACAGCAAGGAGAUUUCUGUCUGCCGGGAGAUGAGCAAGAGCUUCGGAUUCCCAACUUUAGAAGACGGGCUCUCGGUGCUGUCGAAGAACGAUCUGGCCGACAGCCUGGCCUAUAAUAGCUUAAAGGUGCGACAAAUAGGAUCCUUGUGUUUUUUGUUGGGACCAAAGUUUUUUGUUUGUGUAAAUUUAUUGAUACACACAUAUUUCGCUUUGCAGGGUCUGAUGCUUAGCAAUGCCCUCAGGGCACAGAAAGAUGCUGAAGACGAAGGAUGUGCUAUAGCCCUGAGCAACCUUCGUUCCGAUGUAAUUGAACUAAGGAACGAAGGCCUCAAAAAAGAUAAAAUAUUACACUCAUUGAUAAAUAAAAUAAAAGAAGACGAAGCUUCUUUUAAGGGUCAAGCUGAAGCUCAGAAGCGCGAAAUUGAAGAUCUUCGGAAACAACUGGCCAGAGCCAAGGAAGAACGCAUACUUGAAGAAACAAGGCGAGAACUCAGCGACCAAUGGGCAGAUCACUUAGAAGUAACUGUUGAAGAGCUUCGUUCGUCCAAGAAAAGAUGCUAUAACAAAUCUAUAGAGUGUGUUAAGAAGUUAAAAGCUAGCUUCGCCAGGGUCGGCGCCUUCUCAAGCGAAGAAAACUUUACGAGAGGCAAUCCCGAAGAUCCCAUCGAAUGGAUCAACCACGAAGCUGAGGCCUUCGAAGAAAUUUUAAAUAGCCAUGGAGAUAUAUGUGCUUUCUCUGGUGCCAGAGGAAUUGCCACCAUUUUAGAGAAGAAGGGCUGUGGACAUGUAAAAAUUUUAGCACAAUCCGAAGCUGCUUUGUCCUUUGAAGAUGCAAGAGAUCCUUCGGCCGAAGCUAGCAUGAUCGGUGGAAAAUUUUUCACCGAUAUCUGGGAUAAUGGCGGCCGAGAAAUGGCCGGAGAAAUUAUUCAAAAAAGUGAAAAGGGCAUUCACGAUGCUAGAGAAGUGGCUGAGGCUGCUGAAAAGAGUGCAGAACCCGAAGGUCAAUUAGGUAGUAACUAAUAGUUUUUAUUGUGUUGUAAUUUUUGGUUUUAAGCUUCGUUUGCCAUUUGUAAUAGCAAUGUAGCCGUAUCCUGUCCUUCUUCAGAUCCUGCUGAAGCGUCUCCAGGCCCUCAGCCGAAAGAGGACGACGAAAUUAAAAAGAUGGCUGAAGCCAUUAUGGACGAAGUCGUCAAUCGGCUCCUGAAUGAGGCUGCAGAAGUUGUUCUGAGAGAAGAUUAAAUACUAUUGUAAAUUAAACUUCUGAAAUGUAAUAUAUUGUAACAUUUUGUAAUCCUGAAUGUAAUAUACCCGUUUUUAUUGCUCAACUCUUUACGAUGCAUGAAACUUUACACGUACCGCUUUUGAGUCUUUGACGAAAAAACACCUUCCCUUCUUUUCAUGCUUCGUGAAGAGGAAUUUUUCUUUGUCACAACAAUAUCCAGUGUUCUAAUGAAUAAUAUCCAGGCUUCGUGAAGAUACUUUCCGAAGCUAUACUUCCGAAGAUCAAUAAUGUAUCUCCUUGUGACAUUAUGAUUUUUCCCUUUUUUCAAAACGUUCUUCUGUAGAUUAAUAUGAUGUCCACCUCUUGUGCCAUAUGCAACAUGAUGUAUGAUGCUUAUGCUAUGCGAAAUGAUGCGAUGAUGUUAUGCUGUGUAAGAUGGUGUUUAUUCCGAAAAUACACACAUUCCUGCGACAAAACACAUAAUCUUUUGAAUCAGCAUUGUCUUUUUACUAUAAGCCUCCCUUAGGAGCUUCUUCGCCUUUUACUUCGGCGGAAUCAGCGUUUAUUUUUCGCUGUAAGCCUCCCUUAGGAGCUUCUUCGCCUUUUACUUUCAGCGGUAUUCGCGUUGACUUUUCGCGCUUCGCCUUUUACUUAGGCGGUAUCAGCGUUGACUUUUCGCUGUAUGCUCUGCAUUCCCAUUGGAACGACUUUGGAGCAGAAAACUUACACUGCGCUCCCUUUGGAACGACUUUUUUGUGACUUCGGCCAACUUACUCUGCGUUCUUUAGAACGACUUUUUGUUGCUUCGAAGAAUUUUCGAUAGUUCGAAGGUCCUCUUUGUUAUCACAAGUCUUUCAACAAUUUAAUCAUGUGAAGAAAAUAUAUUUUCCUUGUGGGAAUCAACGAAACUAUUUACAUGAAACUUGAACAAUGUCCUUUAUUACAGAAAAUAAAACUGAAUGAAAAAGAUUGCUAUUAAGGUAGGAUAUUUGUCAAUAGAUGUGCUUUGACUCUGGCACAGUGCUGUUGACUGUGCGAGCUUCGGACUGUUCUCUGAAGUCCCUUUGAUGUGGAGCAUAUUGGCUCCCUUCUGGCUGCUGACCUUGUUGCAGCGGUGGUGGAGGCGGAGGUUGUUGCCAAGAAGCCUGAGGUUGACUGCCGAAGCAACAGAAACUGCAGGGUGAUUGCCUACAUACUCUGGGAUGUAAGGCAAAUGAUACGAAGCAGUGUGCAUGACCUGCUUCGGCUGAGCCUGUUGUGCUGCCGCUUCGGCUAUUUCUUUUUGCUUCUGGAUGGUAACAUGGCACAUCCUAGUGGUAUGACCUUUGUUCUCACCACAGAAUAAGCAAAAGAUUCUUCUCGGUUGAUCGCCGAAUCUUCCUCCGAAGCCCCUGGCGCCUCUGCCUCUUGGAGCUGGUGGUCGGAAGGAGCCUUGCUGUUGCCCCGAAGCCUGUGAGGAACAUUGUGGCCUUUGCUGUUGACUCCCUCUAUCAUCAUUUUGUGUAGAGUUAUGAAUUGAUCUAACAUGCCUUGGGUAGAACCUCCCUCCGAAGCCCCUGGUCAUUUCAGAAAACCUAAAAGCCUCCUCCCUUCUUUGGCGAAAAUCAUUAUCGGCCCGAAUGUACUCGUCCAUCUUCUGGAGCAGCUUCUCCAAAGUUUGAGGAGGCUUCCUAGCGAAGUACUGAGCUGACGGUCCUGGCCGAAGCCCCUUGAUCAUGGCCUCAAUGACAAUUUCAUUGGGCACUGUUGGUGCCUGUGCCCUCAAACGCAAGAACCUUCGGACAUACGCCUGAAGGUAUUCUUCGUGAUCCUGGGUGCACUGGAACAGAGCUUGAGCAGUAACCGGCUUCGUCUGAAACCCUUGGAAGCUAGUUAACAACAAGUCCUUCAGCUUCUGCCAUGAAGUGAUCGUUCCUGGUCGAAGGGAGGAAUACCAGGUUUGAGCGACACUCCUGACAGCCAUAACAAAAGAUUUGGCCAUGACUGCAGCAUUGCCACCAUACGAAGAUACUGUUGCUUCGUAGCUCAUCAAAAACUGCUUCGGGUCUGAGUGGCCAUCGAAUACGGGAAGCUGAGGCGGCUUGUAGGACGGAGGCCAAGGUGUAGCCUGCAGCUCAGCGGACAGAGGAGAAGCAUCAUCGAAAACAAAAUUCCCAUGAUGGAAAUUAUCAUACCAGUCAUCUUCGUUGAGGAAACCCUCCUGAUGAAGGUCUUGGUGCUGAGGCCUUCGGUGCUGCUCAUCCUGAGCAAGAUGACGAACUUCUUCAGAGGCUUCGUCUAUCUGCCUUUGCAGUUCAGCUAGCCUGGCCAUCUUUUCUUUCUUCCUCUGCACCUGUUGAUGAAGCAUCUCCAUGUCUCUGAUUUCUUGAUAUAUCUCGUCCUCUGGUGGUGUCGGGCUAACAUCCUUCCUUUUCUGGCUUCGGGCCUCUCGAAGGGAGACUGUCUCCUGAUUAUGGUCCAGCGGUUGUAGAGCUGCAGUCCCAGUCGAUGAAGCUUUCUUCGGCGCCAUAGCGAAGGUUUAUGAUCGCCGAAGGUGUUCAAAAAACUCAAAGAGUGGAAGUGAGUUCACCGGAGGUGGGCGCCAAUGUUGGGGACUUGUUCUCAAAUGCUAUGAGUCAAGAACAAGGCAACAUAGAAAAUGUUAAUCGGUAAAGUCCUUCGUCCUUCGAAGCAUUAUCCCCCUUAGGAUAUAAUGAUUUUCGGACGAAGGUUAUGAAGGGCGUACCUUCAUAAAUACAUUAUACAAUGACGAAGGAUGAAUUGUAAGGAAUAUAAAGGACAACAUAAACAAUUAUAUAUUACUGUCAUUUAUAAACAGAAAUAACGUUGGAUUACAAAUGUACCUUCAACUUGAAGGAGAUGAAAGUACAAGCGUGACGCAAAAGCGAAUGCCAGAUCAGCCCCCUAGUACGGGGAUACUGUUCACCUAUUUAUAGGCACAGGUUACAGCCUAUGCAAAAUUACAUUCAUGCCCUUUACAUUUGAUAAUAAUUCUAUUGUAAUCUAUCGAGGUCUGAAUAGCCUUUUCAUCUUUAAGUCGGUUUCAUUUUGUUGCUAUCAUGCCGAAGCUUUCCUGCUCACACCUUCGGCGCUGUAUCAACCUUCGUAUUAUUCUGGUCUGCUGUGAUACCGACUUGAGUCCGAAGAUACCUGUUCACACAUUAAACUCCAGAAAUACUGUUAAAUCCUGUUUUUGAGGACCUUCGUAAGCCGAAGGCCCCCAACAAUACUCCAUAUAUUGCUAUAUGGAGGCCAUCUCUUCAUUAAGCGCCGAGCCACGCAUAGGCGCCGCAGCCACACUUUAACCACAGGGCAGCCCAUUAUGGUAACUCACCUUCUUACCUAAGCGUAGGUACGUUGUUGCAAAUACAUUACACUUAUUAGUAGUUCCAUGUCUGUACACAUCCAUGGGGUACUAAAUUCCUAGAAAAGUAAAUACUCCACAUCGCAACUUUCGUAUAUACAUAUGUAGAGCAUGUAUAUAGUCAAGCAUCAAUAAGCACUCCCCUAGACCGACGUUUGUUCGGUCAUGCUCUCACAUCUCACCUUACCUUGAGCGUCGAUCCAUUCAAAACUGAAUGGCCCCAAAAACAACAUUACACAUGUAUGUAAUAUCCCCCCGGUUGUGGGUUAGUAUUUUUUAAGUCACCUGAUAGUCCUUAAUUUAGGGCUUAGCAGAGGAUGUCGCUAGCAUUAUUGUUUUUCAAAACUAUUUUUCAAAACCAAAUAAUGUGUUUAGUUGAAAAUAGGUUUUCGAAACCAAAACUUUGUUUUGAAAAUAUGUAUGUGACCGUAUUAUACUUAAUCCUGCUACGAUACCAGCUGUGGCAGAACCUCCCAAGUUAUUGGGCCCACAUGCACCUGACUUUGUCUCAAAGACCUCAGACGGCUAUGCAUGUGCACCAGAUAACUUAACAGGAUCAGCCCGAGUGUCCCAAGGACCCUGGAUAAACUACUUACAACCAAGAUCGCAAGAUUAAGUAAACACAAAUCACACACCAAUAUUUUACAGCGGGAUUUCUUUAUUAUAAAAAGUUACAAGUUACAACAAAUUUACAUUAUAUAUACUGGAGUGAUUACAAAGUGAUUCAAAGAAAUAAAAUUUGAAAUAUUAUAAAUUAUUUAUAAGUUUGAAAUAUAUGCUAGCUCAAGGACAAUCCUCAAUAAGAAGUAUAGAAGAGAUACUUUAACCUAUAAGAAGGUUGUGCCCACCGGCGCUUAGCACCAUCCACAGCAGCACAAAUCUAGUACCUGCAACAACAUGCGUUCGAAAACCCUGAGUACGAAGUGUACUUUCGCAAGUCUUGCCUGUCUAAGGAAAAAGACUCUCAAGGAUAUGCUGGCUUUUGGGAAUCAAGGAAAAGCUUAUCAAGAAUCAAAGACUCUUUCUGCAGAAAAGCUUACUAUGAGUGGAUCCUUAAGAAUUCAUAUUACUUGUCAGGUUAAGUAAAGUUACCUACAUCUAGAGUUCUUUCUAUCCUAGUUCAAGCACUUGGCCUAUACUAGCUGUCUUUUUGUCAUCCCUUCAGUUCACUAGAUUGCUACGUGUAAGUCAGUGACCAAGUCUUCAUGUCCGAGAAGUAACGACGAUCCAAAUCGAUUAAUAUCCAGAUGGGGAUCUCCAACCACACAACAUAUGUAGCACUUAACCCUUGCAUAUGUCAACUCACCGCCGGGUUUCUCAAGACCAGAACGGGUUCACACCAAUCGAGAGCACAGAUACACCACCGUCCAGCCUCUUGCCACGGAGGGUACACGCUACUCUCGCCAUCUCUCCACUCCCAUUGUGUGGUGGCCAAUUGUAACACCCCAGGUGUUUAUCGUCGGCUCGACCACGAGUGCGGACUGUAACACGUAAUAGCGGUGAAAUUCGUUUUGGUUCAACCAAAUUGAAUGACUAUUGAAAAUAUCGAAUCCAAUAUCGUUGGUUUGAUUCGUCGACAUCUGGCUAAACCUCAGCCUUGUAAUUUUGCUCAAACAAAUUUAUUUAGAAUUCAACGAAUAAAGUUUUCGGAGCAAAUUAUCGAAGUCGAACUCGUUUUAAGCUGGUCCGUUUACGUCUUGCCCAGGAUAGUCACGAAAGUUAUCUGAACGACAAUCGUGCGCGAGGUUAUGAUCCAAUUUAUUAUUCAGUACACUCUGUAAAAUAGUAAAAUCAAGUGUGUUUAGAUAUCGGAUAAAAUUUCUCGAAUUUCAAAAUUAACCAAACAUUGUUCCAAUAUUGUCACCAAUCCCAUUUUAGUCUAUUUAUACUUCCCUCGGUUCUAACCUUAAAAUAAUGUGAUUUGUUUAGCCUUAAUAUCUAGGACCCAGCUACUUGCAUAAAAAUUGUUAAUCACAUCGUUCUUCAGUAAACUGUUUAGAGGAGAAAACUCAUAUGGCUUCGGAUGUCAGAUAAAUUUUUAUCCGAUUUCGACUAAACCAUUAUUAUCUCAAAUAUCCAGUCCAUCUAAACCCCGCUCACAUCCAAACUGUAGAAAUCAAAUAUAUAUAUAAAUGUUUGUGUUCAAAAGGAGGGCAUAAAAAGAUCUCUUUUGUCUACUAAACUCCCACCGUCUUCCGUAUUCAGAUUUUUUUGGCCGUAGCCCUAUCUCCUUCGCUUGGGAUUUUUCAGCCGUCGUUCUCAUCCGCGUCGCACAGCAGCUGGGGAAAAAAUCCUGCCACUCAGCCGCCGCCCUCCCUCUGAUAUUUCUCAGCCAUCGUUAUCUCCUAGCGCGCGCUCCUUGUCUUCUCCCAGCGCUCUCCUUCACUGCCGCGCCGCCCUCCUCCCUUCUCCCUGCUCCUUCCCAUGGUGCGCAGGGCGUCCUCCCCUCGAUUUCCUCCGUGCCUCCUUCCAGUCAGCGACGAACGAGGUUCUAGGCGGCCACGUCGUUGUCCGGCACCUCGUCUGUGUUUUUCUCUGUGCCACGGUCGAGCUCGCCGCGUCCCUUUGUUUGAGUCCGUCAACCUCCAUCUCGCCCCGAGCUCCUUCCAUGGCUGUCGUCGCCUCCAAGCCUGGGGUAUUGCCGAGCUCGCCCAGCCCUUCCCCAUCACACGCCGGCGGUCCUCCAUUCCCAGCCACGCCGCUCUCUGCUCACUGGUGCUCGCCCCUGCCCUCUGUCUAGCGCCCUCCCUGCUCCACCUCUUCCCAUGGCCGCCUGCAGCUCUCGUCCUCCCUCAAGCCCUAGUCGAGCUUUUCUAUGGCGCCCUGGAUGCCAGCCCCUUUACUCGAUGCCCCUACUAGGUUCCUGGCAUGUUCGCCGAGCCAUCGCCCAAGCUCAGCUUAUCCAUGGCGCAGGGAACAACAACCCCUUUCUGUUGAUGGCAUGCUGCAGCCCCCUCCAUCACGCUAUCUCCUGUUCUCCAUUUUUGCUGCAGCAAGUGGACGCCCCCAGCCCUCCAUUAUUUGCCCAUCUUCCCCAUGGUGCCAGCAGCAUGCCAACGGUUCAACGAUAGGUGCAGCAGUCUGCGCGUCGUCAAUCUCCUCACAUCAGGUCGUGUCCCUCUCUGUCCUUGCAUGUUCUAGUUUCAUUUCACUUUGUUGUCCAUGUCGUGACGCUUGUGUUAUCUCUGGUUUAUUUUUGUGUAUGGUGAGGAAGAGAAUUCUAGGAAAAAUCGAUGAAGAAAACAUGUUUCAGUUCGGUGCGCUCUAGGUGUUUGACGAAAUGGGAGCACCAGGGAACAAUCGUCGUUCUUGCAUAAACCAAGUCGAUUUGACUGUGGUGAGGCAAUUUGAAUUUCAAAUAGUUGUUGAGUUGUUUUUGUCUUUACAUUCGUGGUAUAAUCGUAUAAUUCAUGAGUGGAGCUGCUAUUUCACGUAAGCUAUAGUGUCAUCCUCCGUUGUCAUGUCACCUAGGUAGAGCAGGUUUAAGUCAUUGUGUGAACUGCAGAUUUCGGUGCCGGAAAUUUUUGGUGGCGGUGUGUUAACGUAAUGUGGACGUGUCAUGUUAUGGUUAGGUUUUAGAUGCAAAUUAUAUAAUGGGUGUAUUGGUGUGUGUAUGUGUAUAUGUCGAGAGUGAUUUAAUAAGUUUUAACUAUACGAAGUGUGAUCAAACUAAUAAUCCGAAGGAUGAGUCUAGAGUUUCCAAAAAUUUAGCUAAUUAGUGUUGUUAGUAUUAAGUAUAAUGAAUUUCUAUUCAUUUGCAUGGAGUCAAUACCCUGCGUUAGUAAUUAUUAUGUGCUGGAUUAGUGUUUGGAUAAAGGUAUGGGAAGGUGAGGGUUGCUUGUAGUUUGUUUAUCGGUUGCCGAUCUAAUUUCAUCAUGUUCAUGUUAUUUAGAUGUUCUCUCUAUCAAAUUGAUUUUGUGCGCGAUUAUGAGGUGGACUAGUCCAUAUAUGUCAUUAAGUGGGUGAUUUUAGCUCUACUUUAAGAUAAGGUAUUAGCAUAUUUUAAGUAUCAAGCACCUGAAAAUUGUAGAAGUUAACUAGGAGCUAAAUUGAAAUUUUGUUGUUUGGGACUACAUGACCAUUUUUAGUUAUGCAGCCAGUUUAGAGAAGUAAAUCAUGCUUUCAGUGAAUGUGUGGUAUAGGAAAGUUGUAGAUAACUUCUUUAUCUUACUUGUGUAAAAAUUUCAUGACUAUAGGUCUAGCAGUUUAGGAGUUAUGAUUUUUCCAAGUCCAGUUUCAGAAUCUGUCCAAAUUAUGUACAGGUUUCAAAAAUUGGAUUGUUUGACUAAAUUAAACUGGGAAUAAGCCCUUAAUAAUUAUAGAAGAAUUGUAGUACUUUUAUUAAGCUUUCCAAAAAAGUCUCAGAUCACCCUUUUUGGUGGUUUAGAGACCAAGUUACAGCUGUUUGAACUAUAGAGUCUGAAUCUGUCCAAAUCUAGAUAGAAAAGUGUGUUUGUGUUAACUGACUUUGAUAUGCAUUGAAUUAACCUGAGAUGUUUAUAAAUGAGUUGUAGACAUUUCUAUUAGCUUUCUAAAAAGUCUAGGAUCACCUGAUUUGGAUGUCUGAAACUCCAGUUAUGGAUUUUUGAAGUGAGUAGUCGAAUUCUGUCCAAAUAUGGGGAAAAUUUACGUUUGACACUGUUUGACCUUAUUAAAGGUCGAAUCUUGUUGUGAUGAUAAUACAAAAGUUAUAGAGGACUUUAUAAGCUUUCCAGAAAGUCCUGGUUUACUAUUUUUGGAUGCAUAUUUUAUGAGUUAUGAGCAAAACAAAUAAUUGUUGCUCUGCUGUCCAAAAAUCAGCAAGUAUUAAAAUGGUUGUUUGGAAUUGCUUUUGUGUACGUCACUAGGUUUUGUUAGUUCUUGAUUGGUUGAUUGGUAGUCUUGUGGUUUUAAGUGACGUAAGUACCUUGUAAUUGUGUAAUAAAGUUUAGGUUAUAAAUGCCUGUGUUUCAUAAAAGUUGAGUAUGAUUAACUCCAAGUGUGUGAUUAUUAUGGAGUUUGCCAUAGGUGUUUUGUCCUCUUCAGUUAGUUUAUCUAUUUUGUGUUAUUUAUGUUUGUUCUCAUUCAUAUGCAUUUCGCAUUCCAUUAGGUACGCUACAUGAUCACGUGAUACGGAAUUCAAGAACUGAGUUGAUCUCAAGAUGAUGAAAUGAUGAGCUACUCCGACAAAUGAUGUCUGUGAAUCAACCUAAUGAGAGGUGGACCGAUCAAGUGCCAAGAUGAAUAUGGUCGUCAAAUGAUCGUCAUCUAACCAACACUAACCUAGUGUUAUCCCAGACAAGCCCCGGUGCAUUUGCCACCUCAUUCUGUUUUAAAAAGUUUUAUCACCUUGAAUGAUGCAUUAGGUGAUAGGAGUUGUGAUCAAACAGUUGAUGCAUUUCCUUCCUUGAUUAGACAACCCUAAUACCCGUUUUAUGAAAAUUUAGUGAUGCUUAGCCCUUCUUAUUAAUUUAGGAUUUGUUUUUUUAAAAGAUGAUAUGUAACACGGGAUAAGGGAGUUUGUGAAAUAAAAUGACUUGUGAUGAUGAAGCCGUUGUGGCCGCGAUGAUUUCAUCAUUCAGGUAGGGUACCUCUCUCAUGUAUCAAGUUUUGGGAAAUAAUAUGUAAUGUAGACCAGACAUUGAGCAGGAAAGUUCGCCUGUCUGUGUCGAUUAAGGACCGUUCGAUGUAGGCCUGUUGUGGUGGAGACUUUGCAACUAGCCACAUGCUUCGGUAAGCCUGAACCUGGCUAUUCCAUACGUGAAAAGACAAUCGCGCACUGGGCGUGGGAGAUGGUGGGAGUAGCGUGUACCCUCCUGGCAAGAGGCUGGACGGAGGAGUACUGUGCUCCCGGUUAGCGCUGACCGGUUCACGUUGUGGAGGGUCUGUGGGAACGGUUGACAUAUGUAAGGGUUAAGUGCUACAUAUGUCGUGUGGUUAGGGAUCCCCAACUAGGUAUAAUCGGUUCAAAUCGUCGUUUCUCCUCAGUCAUGGAGACUGUACCCUCCGACCACUCAUCGUAGUUUAUAAGUAAAAUAAGAAUUUGGGUAAAAGAAAGCUAGACCAGGACAAGUGAAUGCUCUAGAUCAGGCAAAUCUAGAUUCAGGAAAAGUACUUAACUUGUGAAGUAAAAUUUUGGCAUAAGGAUUCACUACUAGUAAGCUCUUCUGCAAAUGACUCUUUGUAAUUUGAUAAGCCUUACCUUGAUUCCCGGCAAGCCAGCAUAUCCUUGAGAGUCUUUUCGUUAGUCGGGUAAGUCUUACUGAGUACUUGCGUACUUAGGGUUUUAUUCCUAUUGUUGCUGCAGGUUGAGUCACUUGAUUGUGAUUGGUGUUAAGCGCCAGUGGGCACGACCUUCUUAUAAGUCUAAGUACUUCUUCUAUACUUCUUAUUGAAGAUGGUCACUUGAGCUAGAAUAUAUUUUAAACAUAUAAAUGUUUAUACAUUCAAAACAUAGUGCAAUUACUCCGAUCAUGUACCAUGUAAACUUGAUGUAACUUGUAAAAUUUGUUAAUAAGGUUUUCGCUGCAAAUUGUUGGUGUGUGAUUUGUGUUUACUUAAUCCUGUGGUCCUGGUUGUAAGUGGUUUAUCCGGUGUCCUUAGGACACUCGGACUGAUCCUAUUAAGUUAUCUGGUGCACAUGCAUAGCCGUCUGAGGUUUUUGAGACAAGGGCAGGUGCAUGUGGGCCUAAUAACUUGGAAGGUUCUGCCACAGCUGGUAUCAGAGCAAGUUUAAGUAUAAUACGGUCAUAUACGUAUUUUCAAAACAAAGUUUUGGUUUUAGAAAAUCUAUUUUCAACUAAACACAUUGUUUGGUUUUGAAAAACAGAUUUAAAAAAUAUAAUGCUAGCGACAUCCUCUGUUAAGCCCUAAAUUAAGGACUAUUAGGUGGCUUAGUUCAGAAUACUAACCAACAACCUGGGAAGGGUAAUGCAUACAUGUCCAGUCGGUUUUGAAUGGAUCGACGCUCAGGUAAGGUGAGAUGUGAGAGCAUGACCGAACAACCGUUGGUCUAGGGGAGAGCAUAAAAAGCGCUUGAUUAUAUACAUGUUAGACAUAUGUAUAUAGGAAGGCUGCGAUGUGGAGUAUUUAUGUUUCCGAGAUUCGGUACCCCAUGGAUGUGUAUGGGUAUACAGACAUGGGAAUACUGAGAAGUGUAAUGUACUUGUAACGACGCACCUACGCUCAGGUAAGAAGGUGAGUUACCAUAAUGAGCUGCCCUAUGGUUAAAGUGUGGCAGCGGCGCCUAUGCGUGGCUUGGCGCUUAAUGAGGAGCUGGCCUCCAUAUAGAAAUAUAUGGAGUAUAAACUGUGAUAAACUGUCAUGUGUGAGUUGCAUCAAUGGGAAAUGGGUUGUGAUGAAAUUUUCUGCAGGUACACUAACUUCGAACUCGUAUGUGUAGUUGACGACUAGCAAUAUAUUGAGAGAGGCGUCGUUAUGCCACCGAUAUAGAACGUUAUUGCCACAUUAUGUUGGCAAAAUCAGUGAGGACGAAUAGGACGAGCAUGCAUCCUGAUUGUUGCGUUGUGUUUGUUGUUUGCACACAAAAAUGCUUCCCUCACCUUUAUUCUAAUAAUUGGUGAUUGUGAACGCACAUGCUUCCCUCAUAUUUAUUCCGAUAAUAAAUAAUUGGAAAAUGUGUGAAGCAUGACUGUCCUAUAAGAAAUUUCUAGUUUUGUUUGUUGUGUCCUUUCGACACGUGUUUAUGUGGCCUGUGAUUCAUCUUAGUUUGACCGCUAGUGCAACUUUGGUUUGUUUUCGUGCUUGUGUGCUGGUAGAAUACGGGUAGUUUGUUUGCAUAAACCCAAGGCUAGGCUAUGCCACUCGUUUAGUGAACCAUAACCCAAAUCGUUAUCAGUCCUUCAAAAUCCUUGCAAGUUUCCAAGCAUGGAUGAAGUUGAAUUUUUCCAUUAUCCCUCCAUGACCAGACUCAUGCAAAUAAAUGCUUAGAUGAUUUCUUUGUUGGACAUAAAGUGUACCCGAGCUUAAAACAAGAAUCUCGAGUCAUGUCUCCUUCCAAAACCAUUCGCCUUUUUUGGUUGGUGCAAGCUGUUAUUCCUAUUCCAUUUUGCCUCUCCUUGUGGACCAUGUUGUGCUUUCUCAAUCUAACCUAGGAAAGGAAUGCCCGAUCGUUCUCUCGAAUUUGAUGCCUUUGGUUUCCUCAUAUAUCUCAAAGGCAUACCAAUUUAAUCAUCCGAUCGUUUUCCUGCGUAUCUAAUCAGACGCUCAUCCUUGGCCUUGAAAUUGUUGCGAUGGGCAUAGAAAUAUGCUUGGGGCUGAAAUAACAGUCUCCCAUUGUACUCCCUUCAUCAACCAAUUUAGGUUAUGGCCAUGUCUUGUUCAUUUCAUCGGGCCAUGAUCUAUUUGGCUCUCUACUUGUAACCAUUCUUAUAGGUGGAGUCGCUUUUUGUAUGUUGUCAUUCUUGCUUGGUCUAUUUGUGCCACAUAAGAUUUCUUAUUGGUUGAGUUUGGUAAUGGUGUUAUGACUAAAACUGGUGGUGCCGCAACAAAACCGAGGGUCUCCUUUGGAUGCAUACACAUGGUUGUGCUGCUCGGCACGCGCUGGUAUCACGGUUAGUAGUUGUAGUCCAUUAUGAGACUAUAUCGAUAUGUUAUCUCUCCACAAAUUAUUCUUACCACGUGAGAUUCAUUAUUGGUGCCCGUUUGGUAAUGGCGUCACGAUUAAAGACUUAUGGUGCCGCGGCGAAACAUAGAGCCUCCUGUGAAUGCGCACACAGGAUUGUGCUACUCGUCGGAUGCUAGUAUCGAGGUCUCUAGUCAUGAUCCAUUACAGAACUACACUCUCCCUUAAAAAAAUUUUAUGUUGUUUGUGGAAUGAUCAGGCAACAUCUAUCAGCUUAGUUGAAUCGAAAGAGCAUACCACUUUGAUGUGUUCUUCUGGCAGAUAUCGUCUCUGAUGGUUGACCUCUCUUAUUAGCUGUAAAGUGAUACAUGCUAUAUUCCUUAGAGAAACCAACACCUUAGAGUACUCAUCUCUACUCGGAACUGUCCUAUGCUAUGUCUAUUAUAGACAGGGUUACACACCUCUCUACUCUUAAAAGUCUUUCACUCCGAAUCUCGGGACGAGAUUCUUUUAAGGGGGAGGGUUCUAACACCCUAGGUGUUUAUCGUCGGCUCGACCACGAAUGCGAACUGUAACACGUAAUAGCAGCGAAAUUCGUUUUGGUUCAACCAAAUUGAAUGUCUAUUAAAAAUAUCGAAUCUGAUAUCGUUGGUUUGAUUCGUCGACAUCUGGCUAAAAACUUAGCCUUGUAAUUUUGCUCAAACAAAUUUAUUUAGAAUUCAACGAAUAAAGUUUCUGGAGCAAAUUAUCGAAGCCGAACUCGUUUUAAGCUGGUCCGUUUACGUCUUGCCCAGGAUAGUCACGAAAGUUAUCUGAACGACAAUCGUGCGCGAGGUUAUGAUCCAAUUUAUUCUUCAACACACUCUGUAAGAUAGUAAAAUCAACUAUGUUUAGAUAACGGAUAAAAUUUCUCGAAUUUCAAAAUUAACCAAACAUUGUUCCAAUAUUGUCACCAAUCCCAUUUUGGUCCAUUUAUACCUCCCUCGGUUCUAACCUUAAAAUAAUGUGAUUUGUUUAGCCUCAAUAUCUAGGACCCAGCUACUUGCACAAAAAUUCUUAAUCACAUCGUUCUUCAGUAAACUGGUCAGAGGAGAAAAAUCAAAUGGCUUCGGAUGUCGGAUAAAUUUUUAUCCGAUUUCGACUAAACCAGUGUUGUCUCAAAUAUUGUAUCUGAUAUCCAGUCCAUCUAGACCCUGCCCUAAUCCAAACUGUAUAAAUCGAAUAUAUAUAUAUAUAUAUAUAUAUAUAUAUAGAUGUUUGUGUCCAAAGGGAGGGCAUGGAAAGAUCUCUUUUGUCUACUAAACUCCCACUGUGUGACGGAACCUCCCAAGUCAUUAGGCCCACCUACAUUUGUCCUUGUCCAAUGGACCUUGGACAACACUGUAGAUGCACAUAAUCACUCGACAAGUUCGGUAUCUGUAUCAUUUUCCUCGCCCAAGAGCGUUUCACCCGUCACGCAGAUAUUACAACACAUUGGAGGUACGAAUAAGCGGAAGCAAAUUACAAUAACUUAAUUUACAUUCAUUAAAAUAUAGAAAGAGUGUUAUUAUUACAUCACCAGGUGAUAAGAGUGCAUAAGUAUUAUUAUUACAAACUUGGGAGGCAAAAACCCCUCCCACAUAAAAGUAUAUUGUUUUUCAAAAGGGAGGCCAACAUCCUCCCGCAACCACUUCACUGUUGAGGUUCGUCCUUGGGCACCACAUCCUUGGGCACCACCUUAGUUCAAAAACAGCAAAAGUCUGCUGUUUCCUCACCUACAACAACAUGGGUUCAAAAACCCUGAGUACGUAGUGUACUUUCGCAAGUCUUACCCGUCAAAAGAAAAGACUCUCAAGGAUAUGUUGGCUUGAGGGAGUCAAGGUAAGGUUUAAUCCAGAAUCAAGACUUUGUUUGCAAAAAUGCUUACUAAUAGUGGAUCCUUAAAAUCCAGUUUUAUUAGCAGGUUAAGUCAUUACCUGUCACUAGAGUUCUUUCUACCCUAGUUCAAGCACUUGGCCUAUACUAGCCAUCCUUUUAUCAACCCCUUUCUGUUCACUAGAAUGCUACGGGUAGGGCAGUGACCAAGUCUUCAUGUCCGAGAAGUAACGGUGAUCUGAAUCGAUUAAUACCCAGCUGAGGAUCUCCAAUCACACGACAUAUGUAGCACUUAACCUUUGCAUAUGUCAACUCGCCACCGGGUUCCUUAAGACCAGACCGGGUUCACACCAACCGAGAGCACAGAUACACCACCAUCCAGCCUCUUGCCCCGGAGGGUACACGCUACUCUCGCCAUCUCUCCACUCCCAUUGCGUGUUGGCCUUUCUGGUAUUAGUCUGCCCGAGGCAAAGCUUACCCAUGACGAGGCUGUGACCAGUUAAAAGGUCCUCGAUCAGCAAGCCUACAACGAGACGGUCCUUAAUCGACUUAAACGGAGACACUACACCGAGACUCUCUUCUCGUGCAAGUCACCCGUCUAGUCUCAGCUUUAUCAUUUAAAACCCCAAAGUUUGGUACCUGGCAGAGGUACAUCUUUUCGAUGUUGAACCCAUCACGGCCAUGAUGGAUCCACCAUCAAGUUUUUAUUUUGAAAACAUCCCAUCCACUGUGAAGCAAUCACCUUUUGUUUUAAAACAAAACAUUUGUUUUACUAAAGCAGGACUAAGCAUCAGAAAAACAUUUUAUGAAAACAUGUAAUCAAGGAAUGGUAAACAAUUUUAAAGGAGGAAAUGCAGUAAUUGAUUUAACACCCAGCUCUUAUCACCUAAUGCAUCAUCAAGUGAUAAAGAGUUUAAAACAGCAAGGAGGUGGCAAAUGCACCGGGGCUUGCCUUGUGUUGUAGGAGAGUCGGGCUCUGCUCCACAAAUAUCAAAAUAAAAGCAGUUCCCAGUAGGUGGAUUUUCUGUUGAUGGAGUAGUCUCUUCCUCGUCAACGAUUAUUUCUUCCUCGUUCUCUAUACAUAACCAUAUGUAACCAUGAAUGCUCAUGUAAUGCUUAUGAAAAUGCAAUAAUAGAAAAGAUGUAUCAAGUUGUGAUGAGGACAUCAACACCAACACGAGUACAUCUACACUAGCAGCACCUUCUCCAGCCCAGGCACCAUCUUCCCCAGUCCAGGCGCCACCCCUUCCACCUGGGCUAGUGACUCGGGCCCGUGCAAGAGAAUUGAACUACAUCAUGCUGUUAAAGAACGAAGGCCCAGAAGAUUAGAAGAUGGCCC